UGAGGAGAGGCUCCUCUGAUGGUCCAUGUUGGAACAUUAUGAGAAGUAAUACUGAUUCAUCCAAACUCAUGGAAUUUGCUAAUCUCUUGCUUCUUUUAGUUUCAUCCAUGGUUGUGAUUCUAGAGAUGGUUUUCUCUGAAAGUUGAAAUCUAAUGAGUUCUAGUCUACAGAUCUCUUAAACAUGGUAGCAUAAGGUGCUUAUUUUUUCCUUUAGUAAACUCCUGCUCUUUCCCAUAUUUUGAGCUUGAUAUGGUUUGUCCUCAGAGUAGAUUCUGUAAGAAGGAAGUUGUUGUUGCUAGUGAAUUGCUUUAAAACUGUCUUUUGCUUCAUCAAUUUCAAGACCAUUGACCAUUUUAUUAAGUGCCGUUUUGCUGUGUGUUGGAAUCACUUCUUGUCAGACUAAACAACUGAAACCUUCCAAACCAUGUUAAUGAGGCUUGUUUCUGACAUUCCUACAAAUUUUAGAUGUGGAUAAUCCUUUUCUGUCCCACAUGUUGUAAUAUUUUUGGUAACAAACACUACAAUAUUCAGUUAUGAUGGUCCUCCUUUUUGUCUCUGCUGUCUUCCAUAAAUUUCUCUUUUCCAAGAUUAUGGACAUAUUAUUGGGUUUCAAUCAAGUCUGAGUUCUUCAGUCGUCAUUCAUCUCAUAAUGAGUCUCUUUCCUGAUUGAAGCCUUGUAAUUGGCUAUAGCUUUUUUUCCCAUCUGUAGCAUUUAUUUAUUCACUUUAUUUUUUUAUAUCUCCAAGAAUAUAUAUAUAUAUAUAUAUAUGUCUUGUUUUUAUAGUUUAAUGAAGUGUAUAUUCUUUUCACUGAAGAAAAGGAAUGAAAAAUGAUGCUGAAAAUAAGAAUUAAGUCUAGUUUUCUGAUGCAAUUGUCUUAAUAGAGGAAUUGACUUCUACUUUUGUCAGUUUUGAGUUCUGGCUACUUUAUGUCAUUAGCUACUUUCUAGGAAUUCAUGUCAUUAUGUUUGUUUUUGGAGGGGAAGUGUUUUUUCCUUUGUUUUAUGCCUUAUUACUCUAGUUACUGGGAAGUCUUAAUGUAACAAGUUAAAAUUGAACAACUUGAGCCCAUAUCUAUCUUCUCCUGCAUCAUUUAUAUUCUAUUCUUUAUUUCAUUUUUAGAAAACCAUUAUGUUAUAGUGUAUAGCACCAUAGAUCUUGAACUCCCAAGUUCAUUUCAAAUUAACAUGUCUUUUUAACUAUGUGUUGCACUUGUGAUCUUACUACCCUUAAUCUUAAGGGUUAGAGUAUUAUGCUUAAAUUAUUUGCUGAAAUUUAGUGUUAUUGGAAAUUGAAUACUCAUAUUUUCAUCCAUUAUAUCUUUGAAUUUCUAUCUGUCAUCCAACAAUUUGGCAAUUUUAGCCAUUAUAUUUUUCUGAUAUAUGCAAUUGCUUAUGUCCAAGUGGCCUCUUGUCAGCUUGUCAGCAAAGAUAUUCUGCAAGAGCUGGAGGAGAUGGACAAAGAAUGUGAUAUUGAUGAUAUUUUGAGCUACAGGUCUUUGGCUGAGCAACAAUUGCAGGUGUUGUUUCUGACUACAUUUGUGUUCACUAACGGUGGAAGAACAUCUUAUUUACUGUUAUAUUCUCCAUCAUUUUUAUCUGACGUCAGUUCUUGAUUUCUGUUUACAGUAGGAUUAACAGAUUACCAAAAAAUGAUUUUCUAUAGGUGCCUUGUUGUUGUCUGUCAAUGAUGACUCUAAUUUGUUUCUUUAAGAUAAAUGUAUAACUCUGAUUUCUUGCCUUAGGAAAAGAAUAGAAAUAUAUUUUGACCUGAACCUCCCUUUUAUUUGCCAUUUGGCGAACAGUAUCUACUGCUAUUGCUGAACUUAUGGUUUAUCAUUGUUAAAUAGCACCAUAUAUUUUUAAUGUAUAGUGAUCGACAUUCCUAAUCUUGUCUAUUGAGAACAGAAAGAAACUCUAACAUCAAAUUUGCCACUCUGCCAUCAUCUGAUGUGUUUACACUGUAGGCAUAAUUAAACAUCUUGCUCAGUUACCUGAUUUAUCUGAUAUAGGUUCAUAUUGGCCAGUAUAAUUUAUAUCACUCAUGAUUUUGUUUCUUGACUUUGUUCUUCAGGCUGUAAUAUUGAUGAUAAUAUUUUAUGUUCACAUUCAUAAUGCAGAAUUGCUGUUCAUUUCUGUUUCAUCUAUUCCCUGUUUUCCUUAGAUAUCCUGGGUUAACUUUUUUUCCUCUUAUCUAUUAACACUUGUCAUCUUUACUUCUGCCAUAGCAGCAACUAUGUACAUUGAUCUAUUCAAAUUUCAUUCCUCUCCCCUUUUAGUAAGUGCUGGAUGAUCCAGUGCAUCUGUUGAUAUCAGAACAGCCUGAUCAUUUGUGUUUUCUCCAAUUUCAAGAUGGUUAACAAUAAGAAGAUAAAUAAAAAAAUUUCUCUGACAUGAAGAAAUUGUGGGAAGAUCUAAGAUAUUGUUGCAGGCUUGAAGACUAGAUCAUUGAUUUGAUGGUUUUAAGGCUUCAGAUAAACUAAAUUAUUGUUAACAAUAAUGGAAGCAGUGGUGGGACUUGUCAGGGAGGAAAAAGGGAAAACAAAAAAGAAUGACAAAGAGGGACCAGAUUAAAAAAAAAGAAAAAAGAAAAAAGAAAAAAAGAAAAACACUUACCUGGGUUGUGGGUGGUGCAAACGAUGCUGUAUUUUCAAUGAAGGUGAAUCCAAUAUUAUAGGGUUAGAUUAUGAUGUAAAGGACCUCAUAAGUUCUGCAUUAUUGUUUUGCGUUCGCUUGGAAGUUCUAUUUUUUAUUUGUGGAUGAAGUGGAAAGAAUGAAUACAAGCGGUGUUUGUAUUUAUAGAAGGAUAAGGAAAUAUUAGUCUUGACAAUUAAUCCAUUGUGAGAUAUUUUGCUGCCAAAAUAAUUGUGUCACAAAAGUCAUCAUCUAUGAUGACUGAAGGUUCUGUAAUUUAAAUCUAUUGACUUACCAUGAUAACUUCCCCUGAAUCACAAAUUCAGGGCAGUCAUCUUCGUUGACUUGGAAGUUCCAAAUACUUUUAACUGUUGAAUCACAAAUUAUUUUGAUAUUGAAGAUGUCUUGUAUUUUUAUGAAGAAAUGGUGACAAUAAUCUUUUCACCACAAAAAUUUCAUCACAUUGCUCAUGGCGUUAAGUUCUGAAUUGAUUUUCUAUUUAUGUUCUAUCAUAAUAAUUAUAUUUGUAGAUUUCUUUGAUAACUGUCUAGGGCUAAUUUUUUAAUAUAAGAUUCUGUUUCAGGAGUUGUUGAUAAAUUCAGAGGUUCCCGUUAGUGUUAAGUCUGCUCAAGAAGAGAACCAAAAUGGAGAGCAGACUUCAACCAGAGCACCUAGUUGGUUAAAUUGGUUAUCUCUUGGCAUGCUUGGAGCUGGUGGAACGUCAGACACUGGUUCAUUUGCGGGCGUUGUUUCUGAUGACAUUAUUAAGGUUGUAUUGAUUUUGUCACCAGUGUGAUCCCUUUCUUUCAGUUUUCAUCUAUUUCUUUUGUGCAGGAUAUCUAUGAAGCAACUGAGUUUCACCCAACAUCUUCUUUGUCUGGCGAUUCUUCAAUUAGGAGCGGAUCUUGCUCAUCUUCAGUUAGAUUCAAUAUUAGUCAAAUUAUCACCUCAAUCAGAACCAAGUAAUAGGUCCUUCUAUCUUAUUUUGCAUGUUCUAUCAAUUUUCUAGCACAUUUUCUAAUUUGUGAUAAGCAAAGUGAGUCUUUUAACAUUUGAUUUCAUAUAGAAAAUUGGAAUAUGAUGUACAGUCAAGGUUUGCGAUUUUGAAUCGUACCACCUGUACCGGGUGGUAUGUGCCGGUCCGCCCGUGAACCGGUACGUGGACUGCUUGCUAUUGGGUGGUCCGCUCUUUAUAGCCUCGUAUCGGACGAUACGAGGUUGUUUCAGUCAGUAAUAAUCAAAAUUUCGAUAGUUUCCGCCUGCUACUGGGCGGUACCAGCUUGGCUACGACGAGACUAAGGGAGAAGCGUCGAAGAAGGAGAGGGCGUUCGAAGAAGAGGUAGAAUCGGGAGAACCUCGGUGAGAACUUGUUUCUAUGCCCUUCUUCGAUCCCUAUCCGGUGUCGCCCUCCUUCGACGAUCCCGAUCCAGGAGGUAACGGCGAGGAAAGUCGUAAAGAGGAGGAUCUGGAGGUGCGGGGAUUAGGGAGGCUGCGGCUAGAGCAGCGAAAGAGGCUGUCUCCUUCAUCGCCUCGUCUGCGACUCUGUGGCCUUCUUCUUCGCCGCGUUCUUCGCUGAAGGCUAGAGAUGUUUGUGGCCUUCGACGUCUUCAUCGUCUUCUUUGCCAAAUGUAGCAGACGAGGCGUUGAGGAGAAGAGGAGGAGGCGAUGUCGCUGAGGCUGCGUACUCCUUUUUUAAAAUAUUUAUUAUAUAUUGAUUUUUAUAAUUUUUUAUAUAAAAUAUAUAUUUUAUAUUUUUAUAUAUUAAUUAUAUAUAUAUUUUUAGGCAUACUGUUCGGUAUGUCUUGGUGUACCGCUCGAUACACCAUACCGUACUGUAUCGUGCAAAGCUCGAUAUAUUGGUACGGUACGAAAUUUUAAACCUUGUGUUACACUAUCUUUUACUUCCACAUGUGACAUGGUGCUUGUUGGGUGUGGUCUUGGUUCUAAAUAAGAAAACAUGUUCUUGUUGCCAGUACAGUAUUUGGCAAUAACAAUAGAAAGCAGUGACUGUUGUACCACCAGAAAAGGUACAGUAUGGGUGUGGACCGAUACACGGACCACCCCCAUUUCAAGUGGUCCGAUUAAAAUAGUAAAAAAUUCAAAAAUUGGUUCACAAUAGGGGUUCACAAGCCCUCUUCUCGUGUACAAUGCCACAGCUCUUGCUGUUGCCUCUCGCUGCUGUGAUGCUACAGUGGCACUGCCUCUUCGCAGCUGCGAUGUUGUCGCUGCUUUUGCUUCCCAGGUACGCUGCUGUUGUACUUCUUCUUUUCUUUCAUUUUCUUCCUUGUUCCUUUCUCCUUCCUCCUCUAUUCCUCCACCACCCCUUCCUCAUCACACUCUUUUUCUUCCUUGUCGAAAUACCGGUAUGCACCGGCAUACUAUGUGUUGGUACACUGGUACAUACCAUUCCAGCAGAUUGCCGAAACGGGUCUGGUACUUGAAAAGGCAAACCUUGAUAGAAAGAACUUAUGACAUCUCAUUUACCGAUACUUGAAGAGGACUUUAUGAAGUUAGCAUAAAUUUGGAAAUAAACAAUUUGAAGACAAUUAAUUGUAACAGUUGAGAAUGGGGAAGGACAUGGUUGCUUUAGCUUGGUCGGUUGAUGUGCUUGUUCUUUUUAUCAUCUUACCUCCAAUCAGACAUUUCAUUAAAAAAAGAGAGGCUUUUCAUAGGCAUCUUGUAUGAAUGAACUUAGCAGGUGAACUUAUUGAUGGCUGAUUUUGUACCCUUAGAUACAUGCUCUUGGCCAUCCUCUAGGGCACUGAUUAGGCCAUAGGAAACAUGAUUAGAGAAGGAUUUAUGAUCUAGAUUGUUUCUAAUCAUGCUUGUGAACUUCAUAUGUUAAUUUUGAACUUUUCACAAUUCAUAGAUAACUUAUUUAGUUCAUGGAUGUGAAAGCUGGUAUAUGAUUUGGUCAAGAACUGGUGGAGCUGAAAAUUUUAAAAUGUUGCAUAAUGAUUCGGAGUAAAUAAAUAUUCAUCAAGCUUUAUUUAAGACAUUGUAUUUUAUAUAUUGUACAUGCUUUUAACACCCUUGAGAUUAAGAAGUAUAAAUAUGCAAGCAGAAUUCUCACUUGUGAAAUAAAUUAUCUCAAAAUAUAUUUCCAUAUUGUUGUUAUGUUCGUGAUCGUAACAAGAAGCCAUCAAUCCCAACUCUUUGGGUUUGGCAAUAUGGAUGGAUCUGUUUCUGCCAUUAAGCGCUGUUGCAGGCAAUAUCAAUGGUCAAACUAGGAUCAACUAAUCACUCUUUGACAAUAUGAGACAAUGCCUUAAAUCAUACUCGAUGUUUCCUCCCAUUUAUACCGACUUACCUGGCUUACCAGCAGUGUUGAAUGGAUGUGAAAACUAUUAUUUGAUGUGGUCGCUUAUGCAAGGAUAUCCGUGGAACUGUUUCAGUGUAGAAACAUGAUGGAGAUAUGGGGGAUAGGAGAAGAAUAAUUUCCAAAUGAAUGUUUUGAAGAGUCUGUACAACACUACAUGUAUAUUGUACAUCACCUUUCAACUCGUUGUUCACCUGAAAUAGGCUCAUUUUCCUCGUUUUAUCUUUUGACGAAAAUGCUCCUAUAUGUUUUGGCGUGUAAAAUGUACACUAUUUGAUUGUUUAAAAAUUUAUCACAACAUUCACAUAUUUAAUCGAGGAACUGUAUUCGUCUAUCUCAAAUUUCUGAUCUCGAUGGUGUCAAACUUUUUGGGUAUUUAAUUCCUAACUGCUCAACACUCUCAUGGAGACAGGCCUUGUAUUUAUCUUAUGCAACCUUUUCUUUUAUGGAGCAUAUAAUGUUCAUAUAGUGUUUUAGAUGCCUCUCAUUAUUUGAUCUUUCUACUGCUAUAUGAUCUUGCUCCUUUCCUAUCAAGUAAUCAAUGCAAGAGAGCUGACUAGAUAACUUUUUCGUACAUUUAUAAUUUAUUUUAACUGUAUAUUCUAUGCUUCCCUAUGAGUUCAUGUAGUAACUUGUAGUCCUAUUAUCCUCAACUGCUUGAUUUCUAGAGUUUAUCUCUGUAGAGCAAAGUUUAAAGUUUGUACCUAUUUAAAUCUCAUUAGUGAAAAAAAAUGUCGUGUUGCCUAAAAUAACAAGAUGGGCCUAUUAGCAGACAACUUAUUUAAUGAUUAUUUGUGUUGAGUAUACAACCUUGUGGGUUUGUCCAUGAUGACUGCACAAAGGUAAGGAUUUAUCCUUAUGCAAUCUUUUUAUUGUUGAGAGUUCCAUAAUCUGAAUGGGUGAUGACACAUUAAUGUAACUGCUAAAAGCUCCUUUCUCAAAGUUGCUACAUUAUAUCUUUAGGUACUGGUUCUGGCACAGCCCUUAAUCCCACCGUACUUUGUCAACAUGAAACAACAUUGGUGCUAAUAUGGGCUGAUACUAACAUGGUGGGGGUUAAUGAAAAAUGACUAGGAAUUAUUUAGAUUCUUGUCAAUUAUGGUAGGACAUCUUGGAAAAGAAGAAUCAAAGCGACAUCGUAAGUGGAGGUGAGGAGGAGGAGGUGAGAAUCCUUGUUAUUGCUUCUGCCCAUGCUGAUGUUCCAUUGCUAUUGGUACAUAAGACCAAUCUAGUGUUUAUACUUAUUUCUAAGAGAGAUGAGGCAAGCAAUAAUUGGGACAUUUUCACUUGUUUCUGUUGUUAUAGAUUGGCCAAACAUCAUGGGACCCUUGGGAUCUAACCAGAGUCGUGGAAUUUGGAAUUUUGGAUAUCAAGGGAUCCUGUUCAAACUAUAUUCUAAAAGGAAUUUAAGAUGAAGACAUGAGAAUGGAAGAAGAGCGGAGAAGAAGGAAGAAUGGGAGUGAAAGAGAAAAAGUAGAUAAUAUAAAUUAAAAGUACAAUACUUUGAAAAUAACUGGACUUAUUUUGACAUGAUCUCAAAUUACUUAAAUAUGUUUGUAUCAAGAAUUUAAAUAUCAGUCCAAUUUCGGUAACACCUAUACAUUUGAUUUCAGUAACCUAUCCUAUAUCGGUACUUGAUUGAACCUGAAAAUACUAGUCGGAGAUACUUGUCGAUCAAUAUUUUAAACUUCAGUUAAAAUGUAUAAAAGAUCUAUAAUAUAUUAUUUAUUGUGUCUGAAUUUUUUUAAUAUAUAUCCUUAAAAUAAUCUUAUCCCAUAUUGAAUUAUUAAUUUAACUAAAGGCAUUGCCUUAGCCAUAUACAGAGCUCAACUAAAGGUAUAGAUUUAGCUUUUUAUAGAGCUCAACUAGCAAAAGAUCCAUAUAGCUGAUCCCAUUAUGGCUUGUUGUAGUAUCCUAUACAAGAGAUCCUUUGUCAUGUUUGAUAUUCCAUUUUGACGGUAGAGCAACAUAGUCAUCAGGAAGUAGGAACUCUUUCAUAAAUUUUAAUUAAAAAAACCAUGUGUUAAUUUUUUUAAUCCAUUUAUUUUUGUUAAUUGUCUAUAAUGAUUCUUUGGUUGAUUUUUUUGUAUAAAAUCAAAUUGAUUUUUUUAACAUAUACCAAUCUUGUGUCUUUAUCUGCACAACUCAUAUAGUUUCGAUGUUUUGGCUUGUCAAUUUGAUUCUGUUUUAAGUAAUUGUGGACACAUUCUUUAUUCUUAUUGAUUGAGGAAAAAAAUCUUCCUCAUCAAUUGUCAUGUAGGGUGGUAAGUCUGAUUUGAAAUUAUUAUUAAUUUUUCAUGUAGGGUUUCAGUGUUCUAGUUAAUACCAGUGAUUUAAAAAGCGCUAGGCGCCAAGGUCCAAAAACGCCCGAGGCGCUAGGCUCUCGCCUGAGCAUAGCGGGAGCGGGAGUGUAAGAAGGCAGCGACAGCGGGAGCGGGAGUGUAAGGAGGCAGCAGCAGCGGGAGUGUAAGGAGGCAGCGGUAACGAGAGCGACGAGUAGCGACAGCGACAGUAGGAGCGGGAGCGGGGAGCGGCGACAGUGGCAGCGGCGAGUAGCGGGCGUGGGAGCGGCAACGACAACGAGCAGGGUUAGCCGAUUAGGGUUGGACAGCGGCAUCUGAUAUCGAUUUUAGUUGGUUCGAUUGAACGAACUAACCACCGGAGACCGAACCAGACCUAAAAUCCUGGUUCGGUCGCCUGGUUUAACCCAAGCGCUCGCCCGAAGCGCCCAACGCCUAGGCUUGGGCGAGCGCCUAGGCGGCGCCUCUUUGAAGCGCGCCGCCUGGAAGUUUAGCGAGGCGCUCGGGCCUCGCCUCGCCCGAGCGCCUAGGCGAGCGACCGAGCGCCUUUUUAAAUCACUGGUUAAUACCGUCUCUCUUUUGAUAAAAAAGGGGUUUCAUCUUGUGCUACCUGCUUGCCCGUCUGUCCAAUGCUUCUUCUCCUCUCCCUCCUCUUCUUUACUCCUCCUCUGCCUCCUCUUCCAUGUCCUCCUGGUCUGCUCUUUUUCUCCUCCUCUCCUCUUCUUUCUCUUCUUUUCCUCCUCGGCUGGUGUAUCAUAUGUUGGUACACCGGUAUAUACCAGAUUAAUACUAGUCCAGCCAAGGACCGGUACAGGUCCAGUAGUCGAAGUUUUGAACCACGGUUGUGAUGGUAGAAACUAGAAAGUAAAUUUGCCUUAGCUGCUUUCUUUUUUAGAGAAGGAAAAUUUUGAUGGGUCAAUGACUAAAGUUCAUGAUCACUUUUUAGUCUUGUCAGGGUUUUAUUUGUUCUAGUGAAUGAAGUUUUAAAGAUUGAAGCAUAUAUGGUUUUCUUCAUUAUAUUAUGGAGAACUUAAUUGUUUGAAUUUGAAUCAUUUGUCAAAUCUAUAUGUGGUUGAUAAUAGUUGAUUUUUUUCGUUGUUCUAUGAUAGUAUGAUAUGUAUUACUCAGUGUUAUUUUUACAUUGAUCUUUGUUCACUUUGUUUUAGAGCAUCUGACAGGAGGAUUGGUAAAGCAAUAUGCAGUGAAUUUGUCUUUGAAUGUGAAUUCUGGGAUGAUUCUGCAGCCAUUCUUGCCUCGAUAGGUUCUAUUAAGAUUGUCAACCCAAGCAAUGAGAACGUUAUUUUGAUGGAUAAGAAGGUCAAAUUUCCAUUUUUUUCUGUUUAGUUCUGGUUGCUAAUGCUAAAAGUUGUGACAUUUUAUGCCCUAGCAUGUUUUAUGCUUUGUUUUUCACAGGUAAUCAAUGAGGAAAAUCUGACCACGUCUCUGUUGCCAUGUCUUAGUUUACAUGUAAAUAUGCCUCAUUUGGACCAAAAGUAUGAUGUUUCAAUCAAGGUAUUUUAUUUUUUUUCUGAAGAAGAAAAGGACAAAUAUGCUUUCAUGUUAUUCCCAUUUGGGUUCCAGAGCUGCAGACUUGUAUUUUGGACAUGGCGUAUAAUCUUAACUUGAUUUGUAAUUUAGCUUUUUUAUGUGAUUAGAUUGUGCUCCAGCCAUUUGAAGCUGGUUUUGAAAAGGAAUUCUUUUUCUAUAUUCAGCAUUUUUACCGUGCUGUCACUUCCUUCCAGUUCCAGCAAGAUAGGGUAAGAAUAACUUGAAUAUUCAUCAAUUAUUUGAGUCAUCUUUUGGGUUGAUUUUUAGUUCUGCUAAUUUAUAUUUAUGCUUUUUAAAAACUUGAUAAUUUUGUUUUCUUUGAACUGAAAUGAUUUAUCUGUCUCCAGCAGUUAGGCAUUUGUAUGUUGCAUUUUCUUAGUGGUGUUAAAGUGAAGCUUGCAACUUUCACCUCUGGGCAUUGCUUUUCUUAUCAGUGUUAUUGUGGCCGUUAUUCAUUUUUUGUAUUGUAUAGACAAAGGCUUUUCAUUAAGUCACACUGUCUGAUUUAUCAUGAAUCAGCAUACAUGCAUUGUAGGUCAACCUGAUAUUUUGAGGUUCUAAUAUUUGACAGGUUCUAUGUUGCAGUUUUGCACAUCCUUCCUUCUCCAUCUUUGUUGCGUUUAAGCACUUAUCAAACAGAGUCCAAUAUUUUUAAGAACUUUUGAACAAGAUGCUUAAAUCUUUGUAUGGAAGUACUUGAGCCAGUUAACAGUCUCCUUUACUACAUGAUGUUACAUCUUAUGGAAUAUUCUGGAUACCAACUCUGCUGGUUUUAGUCUCCAAGCCUAAAGAAAUUUUGUUGAUAGCUUUUGCAGCAAGAAAUUAAGUAAUCAAGAUCAAGUUUCUUCACCAGAAUCCAUUUGAUAGAUGCUGGGAACAUGCAGAAUAAAAAAUAGAGCAACCCAUUGGUCAAAACAUCCUUCUCAUGGAUUUAGGUGAAAAACAUUUUUUUUAAUGAUGGUGAUGUGACAGAAUUUAUUGAAAUAACCAAUUAAUGUUUUCUAGGAUGGUUUGAAGUUGUUGUUCAAAUCUUAGGUGCUAGAGUGAGUUCAAAUCUCCUUUCUGCAUUUUCUUUGUCUCAUCUUUCAUCAUAUUGGUUGAUUGUUGCCAAAAUCCUCCUCACACCCUGGCCUACAUCAUAUUACUUUCAUUAACAUUUAUUUUGGCUUUAGAGGAACAUUGGAACUCGGAAGCAUCUCGCUGUAAUCUGUGUGAGAUAGAUCAAGAAUCAAUUUAACCAACAACAAUAAUCACCAUAAAAACAUGCUAUUAUUACUCAAAAUAUCUAAACUUUUGCUUCUGAAAACCUGUAUAUUUUGUUUUAGCCUGGUAUUGUUCGAUACCAGGAGUGUCCUACGAGGAUAACAUUGCCCAGUAAGAUGUUUACUGAUUGAUGCUAUUUUUAUAAUAUUUUAUUCCUUUUUGAACAUGGGCUUGGGGAGGCUUGUUCUGUGCCACCAGCUUUGCCUUCGUUGUGGCCUUCUCUUUGCCAUGCUGAGGCCUUUGUAUCCACCACCUUGUGUCCUUGCCAUUUUUGACUCCUAACUUUGUGGUUGCUGCUGUCUCCUUCAUGCAUCAUUGCCACCUCUUUCACACAUGGUGCUGUGUUGUCACAAACUUAGCUGGAAUUGCCUAAGUCGUGAAGCACCUUUGCAGCAAAGACGCGAACUUAGCUUGCGUUGCCUAAGUCGCGCUUCGCCCUUGCGAUUUGCGUUCGCAAAAAUCAGCCCACUUGAACCUCUCGUAGGUCUCGAAGGACCUGUAAAAGAGAAAGUUGAUUAGUUCGAAGAACGAGCGACGGACAAGUCCCGACGUCUCGUGAAAAGGGGAAGCUUUACAAGCAAUUCAGCGAGCACCUUGCGUGCAUAAGAGAAAAGAGGGAGAGGAGGAAAACAAGGACUUUAGAGGGUUGAACGAACAACUACAAGUCCACAAACAGUUGCUCACCGAGUGCCGGGCGCGACAACAAGUUCCCGUCAAGGUAACGUGCAAACUUGCGAAAGGUUGUUCAACGCCCGACACUAUACCGAAGCCCCAUCCCCCAUGGUGCCACCCGGGUGGUUCCAGGGUGCUGAGAUGGCUGACGUUUCGCGUGCAGCAGCGGGCUGUAGAAAACAGCUAGUGGCACGCGAAAACAGAGCUGUUUUGGGUUGUUUUGGGGCUAUUUUGCUCGGUUCGGUGAGCGGUCGCAUUGUAGCGCUGCAACUUGUUCAAACUUAUAUUUUUAUAAGCAAAAGGACUUGAAACCAAGUCAAAACAUGCUGCCAAGCAGUUAUACAUGUAGAUGAGAGCGAUGAAUGGUUCGUUGAACGGAGUUGUUGUGGGUGCGCGACGACCGUUCGUGACAUUCUCCCCCACUUAAACUGUCGACGCCCUCGUCGACGCUUGUUGGUAGUUGUUGAUAAUUGUUUCUUCAUGUCGUAGGGCAUCUUCGGGCUCCCAACUGGCUUCAGUUCGGGGAAGCUUUCGUCACUUCACCAAGUACUCGGUCUGCUCAGCUUCAUUGGGUAGCUUUAUCUUGCGAUCCGCUAAAAUAGUUUCAACUCGCUUCUCGUAGGAGACUCUGGUAGAGUGUAGCCGAGUUGGAAUACUUCGGGAAGCAUCUUGCGGAUCCGAGUGAUAGGCUUUUAGGUUACUGGCGUGAAGAACAUUGUGAAUUUUGAACCACGCUGGCAGCUGCAACUUGUAGGAGACGUUGCCCACCCUACUGAUAAUUGGGAAGGGCCCUUCAUACUUGCGCAUCAAUCCUUUGUGUACUUUGUUCCUAAAGAAUUGGAGUGAUGCUAGUUGGAGCUUUACCAACACCAAAUCGCCGACCUUGAACUCUUGCGGUCGCCUUCCCAAGUCUGCCCACCUCUUCAUCCUUUUUGCCGCCUUCUCUAAGUAAGCCCGCGCAAUAUCUGCAUUUCGGUGCCACUCCUUUGCGAAGUGGUAGGCUGACGGACUACUCCCAGUAUACCCGAUUGCCAUGGUGUGAGGAGUUGAUGGUUGUUGUCCUGUAAUGAUCUCGAUGGGGCUCUUGUUGGAUGCAGAGCUCCGCUGCAAGUUGUAGGAGAAUUGGGCAAUGUCCAACAACUUCACCCAAUCUCGUUGGUUGGCACUCACGUAGUGCCGAAGAUAUUGCUCUAGGAGCAAGUUUAUCCUUUCGGUUUGGCCAUCCGUUUGGGGAUGGAGCGAUGUGGAGAAGUAUAACUUGGACCCUAACAAUUUGAAUAGCUCGGUCCAGAAUCGUUCCAGGAACCGAGCAUCUCGAUCAUUGAUGAUAUUGUGUGGGACUCCCCAAUACUUUACCACAUCCUUCAUCAUCAGCUUGGCCGCCUCCUCUACUGAACAUUGUAGGGGAGCAGCAAUGAAAGUUGCAUACUUUGAAAAUCGAUCGACCACCACGAGUAUCGAUCCGAGUCUCCCUACUAUGGGCAAGCUUGAUAUAAAGUUCAAGGAAAUGCUCUCCCACGGCUUUUCUGGUACGGGCAACGGCUCCAAAAGUCCCACCGGCUUCCGUUGUUCCACCUUGUCUUGUUGGCAAGUGAGGCACGUUCGAACAUAUUCCUCCACAUCAGUCCUCAUCUUCGGCCAAUAAAAGACCCUCUCCACGAGAGCCAAGGUUCUGUGAAUGCCUGGGUGUCCAAUCCAAAGGGAAUCGUGACUCUCUUAAGAGUUCAUGUCUCAGAUUGUCCACUCGAGGAACAUAAACCCUAUUCCCUUUGGUGUAAACGAGUCUCUCCUGGACCCAAAACCGUCGUGCCUUGCCUUCUUUAAUGAGUUGUAUCAGGGCUUCUGCCUGGGGAUCACUGUACAGUCCAUCCCUGAUCCUGGAAAGGAAGUUGGAGUGCAACUGACUUGCUUGGCCUCUGCCCUCCAAUUGUACGGCAUUCACACGCUCCACUUUCCGACUCAAUGCAUCGGCCACGACAUUCGUCUUUCCAGGCUUGUACUCUAUUGUCAUAUCAAACUCAGCUAGGAAGUCCUGCCAUCGUGCUUGCUUUGGGGAGAGUUUCUUCUGAGUUUGGAAAUAGCUCAAAGCGAUGUUGUCUGUCCUUAGUACAAAUCGCGAUCCAAGAAGGUAGUGUCGCUAAACUCGUAGACAGUGGAUCACCGGUGUUAUCUCCUUCUUGUGCACUGGAUACCGCCGCUCGGUCUCAUUGAGUUUGCGGCUCUCGUAGGCCACCGGAUGACCCUCCUGCAUGAGUACUUCCCCAAUAGCGAAGUCUGAAGCAUCUGUAUUGACUUCGAAGGGCUCCCCAUGGUCAGGCAAUUUGAGCACCGGUUCUUCCAAUACAGCAGCCUUUAGAUCUUGGAAUGCAAUCUCACAUUUAUCAGACCACCUCCAAGGCUGCUCCUUCUUCAGCAACUCCGUUAGUGGAGUUGCACGCUUCGAAUACCCCGCUAUGAAGAGUCGACAGUAGUUGACGAAGCCAAGGAAGGAUCUUAACUCUGGCACCUUCUUUGGAGUUCGCCAUUCCGCAACCGCUUGCACCUUCGAUUUGUCCAUUCGAAUGGAGCUAUCAUCGAUUCGAUGCCCCAAGAAUAAGAUCUCCGUUUGAGCAAAGUAGCAUUUCUCCCUUUUCAUGAACAAAGUGUUCUCCCUGAGAACCUUGAAAAGUGUCCGAUAGUGCUUGACAUGCUCCUCGAGCGUUUGACUGUAGACGACGAUAUCGUCCAAGUAGACGACCACUAACUUAUCCAAAUACUCCUUGAAUAGCUGGUUUAUGAGGGUGCAAAACGUGGCCGUAGCGUUGGUUAAGCCAAAAGGCAUCACCAAGAACUCAAACGCUCCAUACCUAGUCACACAGGUAGUCUUCGCUUCGUCCCCUUCAGCAAUGCGCACCUGCCAAUACCCCAAUCGAAAGUCGAGUUUUGAGAAAUACUUGGCUUUGCCCAACUGGUCGAAUAAGUCCGCGAUGAACGGGAUGGGAUACUUGUUCUUCACCGUCACUUUGUUGAGGGCUCGGUAAUCGACACAUAGUCGGAGGCUCCCAUCUUGUUUCUUCUGGAAGAGAACGGGAGCUCCGAAUGGUGCUUUAGAAUUACGGAUGAGACCACCGCUUAGCAGUUUGCCUAAUUGCUUUCUGAGCUCAGCCAACUCGGGAGGGGGCAUGCGGUAGGGUGGUCUCGCUGGAGGCUUCACUCCUGGCUCCAGCUCGAUGUGAUGAUCCACGCCUCUGCGUGGCGGCAGAGUCUUCGGUAACUCAGGUGGCAUAACAUCCGUGAACUCCUUCAGGAUGUUCGCCACCACAGCAGGUUCAUGAGUGGCCUUCUCGUCGAGUGGCUCUAGCUUCAUAGCAGCCACGAAUGUUAGUUCGCCUUUUCGUACCCCUUUCUUCAGUUGUAAUGCCGAUAUAUGUUGGGGUUCCCUGGUUCCUCUCCGAGAGACGGGCGGGAACCACACAGGGGUCGUCACCUCCCAUCACACAUAGGGAGUUAAGGAACGACAUUCGCACCAACUUCGCCACGUGCAUAAAUUCCAUUCCAAGAAUCACUUGGAAGUCAUCCAAUGGCACCACCAUAAUGUUUGUGCUCCCGCUCCAUGUUCCAAUCUUGAUGGGAACUCCCUUUGCCAUCCCGGAGAUUUGCCUGGCCUCCGAGUUCACCACCUUCAUUCGACUUGGGCUCUUUUCCAAGAUCAGCGUAAGUCACUUUGCUUCUCGAUCGGCAAUAAAAUUGUGGGUAGCGCCCGUGUCCACCAUUGCACGGGUCGUUUGGCCAUUGAGCUUAAUGUCUACGUACAUCAGCUCGCCACUUCCUGCUUUUUGUAGCCUUGUCUUCGUGUUCUCCCCCACUCGACCCCGCAUGGCGUUCAACAAACGCAUUGCUCCCAUCCGGGAUCCUUGCGACUCCUCAACGUCGCUGCUGGAUUCAGAACUACUCGAACUAAGAGCGACAGCCUUGCCCUUGUCCGAUCGGUAGGAACUAAGUUCUCAACUCCCGCUUCAGGUCCUCCCAUGUGUCAACUCGACACCGACUUUGUUGGAUCUCCUCUCAACGAGUUCGUCACCAAAGUUUUGCAUCUUCGUUCAGAUACAUUGUUGCUAUAGAAACUUUGGUUUCUUCAGAAUCAGGCCUCGUAGCUCGAAAGUAUUGUUCCAUGUCAAACAGGAAAUUCUCGAGCUCUUUGGCAUCUCUGGCCCCUCCAUAACCAUGAAGCUCGGGUGCCCUCAAGUUUUGUGGCGGCGCAACGCAGGUGUUGCUUCCUCCCGCAUUUAGUGCUUUUGUGAGCAUGGUCACCCUUGAAGUGAGUUCCGCCACAACUUCCUGCAGGUGUUGCACGGAGUCUUUGGUGUCAUAUGACAAUCGGUCGACUAGGGCCUCAACCUUGUCGAUCCUGGACUCCGCUUCUUCUUGCGAGCUUUCUACCCCAACAAGCCUUCGUUGGUCAUGGUAGAGUUCCUCCAAGCUCGCUUCAAGAACAUCCAAGCGGGUUUCCGUCGUUGUGAGUGUCUCCUUAUAACUCUUUUUCCAAGUUGGCGCUCCAGAUUACGCUUCCUUUGCUCGCGGAGAGCAACCAACUUCUCGCUCAUCAUGUUCGCUGCCGCGCUCCUCUUGAGCGGCUCCAACAGCAUGAGAGCGAGUGUGCACUUGCAGCCCACCUGCGACUGCUUGGGGCAAGGGUCCGACUUGCCCCGUCUUGCUUGAUUCGCCACGAUGCUUUGCCAUGGCGAAGUUGCGAAGUUCCUUCGCUGCUCGCUCGAAGUGCUUGCCCGCUUUGAUACCACAAUGUCACGGACUUUAGCUGGAAUUGCCUAAGUCGUGAGGCACGCUUGCGGCAAAGGCGCAAACUUAGCUUGCGUUGCCUAAGUCGCUAGGCACCUUUGCGGCAAAGACACGAACUUAGCUUGCGUUGCCUAAGUCGCACUUCGCCCUUGCGAUAUGCGUCCGCAAGGAUUAUUCCACUUGCAACCUCUCGCAGGUCCCGAAGGACUUGUAAAAGAGAAAGUUGAUUAGUUCGAAUAACGAGCGACGGACAAGUCCCGACGUCUCGCGAAAAGGGGAAGCUUUACAAGCAAUUCAGCGAGCACCUUGCGUGCACAAGAGAAAAGAGGGAGAGGAGGAAAACAAGGACUUUAGAGGGUUGAACGAACGGUUGAAAUACACAAACAGCUGCUCACCGGGUGCUGGGCGCGACAACAAGUUCCUGUCAAGGUAACGUACGAACUUGUGAAAGGUUGUUCAAUGCCCGACACUAUACCGAAGCCCCAUCCCCCAUGGUGCCACCCGGGUGGUUCCAGGGUGCUGAGAUGGCUGAUGUUUCGCGUGCAGUAGCGGGCUGCAGAAAACAGACCGUGGCACGUGAAAACGGAGCUGUUUUGGGACUGUUUUGCUCGGUUCGUUGAGCGGUCGCAUUGUAGCACUGCAACUUGUUCGAACUUACAUUUUUACAAGCAAAAGGACUUAAAACCAAGCUAAAACAUGCUGCCAAGCAGUUGUACAUGUAGAUGAGAGUGCCGAACGGUUCGUUGAACGGAGUUGUUGCGGGUGCGCGACGAUCGUUCGUGACAGUGUUCUCCUCUUCUUCUUCUCUUCCUUUCCUAUUUUUUCUCUCUCUUUGGUCAUUCAGUACUGACUGUUACCAAGUAUUGGUGCACAAGUCCUUUAGCCAUUAAUUUUAAACCUUAAUCUUAACUGUACCUUCGGCACAUCUCUUGGUGUUGCUAAACUUGUAUUUUAUAUAUAAUUAAAAAUUGAAACUGAGUAAAAAAUUAGUGAGUUACUUUCUAGGCAUUCAUGGGAACACACACAAUUCUCAAAUGUGACUCUAAACAACUUCCAUGCACAUUAGCUGAGUGGAGGAAUGUCAACAUUUAAAGAAAGUUAUGAUUCUAUUUGGAUAGUCAUUUAUUUUGAUUUUGUGGUGCAUUUCGAAAGAAUGAAACAAAUCUGCAAGAUGUGCUUAGAUCUGCUGCAAGGUGGCUUAUCCUGGAUAUGUAUUUCAAAUAGAAGACAAUUGCUACAUGUCUAAUAAGAUUGUCGAUCAAUUUGUCACCUGAAUUUGCAUUGGAUAAGGGCUUAGUACCACCCAGAAUCCAGAUAGGUUGACAAAAAAUGAUCAAGUGGUCUGCUUUAGGCAUAUAGUUUCCUAUAUUUUAUUAACAUCUGAACUUGAUAUACAUAUGCUCCACUUUUACAUGAUCAUGCGUUUACUGUUAGCUUAAAAGUAAGGUGGUGUUACGACUUAAGACCCAGAAUUUUUUUUAGUAAAUUUGGAGAGAGAUCAAAAUUAGACAACACUAGCUUAAAAGUAUGGUGGUGUUACGACUUAAGGCCCAAAUUUUUUUUUUAGUAAAUUUGGAGAGAGAUCAAAAUUAGACAACCGUUCUUGUGCCUAUUUUGGUUGCACAAAUUCAUAUUUGAGUCUUAUCCCGAGUGGUUGAUGCUAUCCUCUACAGCUGUAUGUUAAAAAAUAAUUCUUAUUCAAGUAUUUGUGGGCACAAUACUUUGGUUCUUGUGUAAGUCAUUUUAUUAACUGUUCUUUAAAUGCCUUUUGUCAUGUCUCCUUUUUCUCUUUCUCCCAGACACAUGCUUCUGCUUGUAAUUCUUCCGACAUCUAUCUGCACCACUUCUUGUUGGAAUUUUCUUGGCAUAAUUUUUCAUUGUUAUUCCAUCCAUAAUAGUGCAUUUAAAUUAUUCCAUCUAUGCAGUUGUGGUGAUCACAAAUGUGACUUGUUAGUGAUUCUGUGGCAGGUGCUGUCAUCACUAAAUGAGCUGAAAAGUUUUGAGGCUAGAUUGCUUGCAAAAUUUGAGUAAGUUUUCAAUUAUUUUUUGCCCAAAAGUUUUCAGGUACCAAGUAUGAAUUUAUGACAUUAUACAUGUAUAGCAAGGAAGUUACUUUUCCUGAUAUAAGUACAUUGUAUUCUUUGGUUCAAACUGUAGGUACUAUAUCUGUAACCAUAAGAAGCUGUACUGGGAUGUUACUAUUCACAAAGCUAUCCUGAAUUUACCAUUGCAAAAUGAGGAGCAAAAAGUUCUCAAUAUGGUAAAUGCAUUUGUGAUCUAGACAUUAUCGUGAUUGUAGAUUUACUAUUUAUGUUAGACUAGUUUAAAUGCAACUAUUAUGUUAUCGCAGCUUUUGGAUUGUUUCAAUAGUGAACUUUGAUUGAUCAAGUUCUAUGUAUUGUGACAUUCUUCUGCAACACUUUCUAUACAAAAGCUCAAAUUAUCACAUUCAAUUUCAGACAUUAAUUUUGGUUUUUGUCUUGAGGUUUCAAAAGCUGUGUGUAUGAUAUAAGUUCAUGUGCAAGAGUCAUAAGAAGUUCUGUAUAUGCAGAACGUUUGUCAUCUAAAUGCAUGAAAUCUUACCUUAUUAGAUUAAUGGUAUCAUGUGAAAGGAGCACAAAAAUUGUCAAAAAUUUAUAUUUGAGCAAUCGUUUUGUAUGCUGAUUUACUCAUGCAACAUCCUGAAAAGUGAUGAUUCGGUUUCCCUAAAAAUUGUAGAUGUAAUUCUUUUAUACAUGUUUCAGUUUUCAUAGAAUUUUAAAGCAUGAGAUUUAUAGAAAAAAACUACUUUCUUCUGUUCCAUUCUAUAUUUUACAUGUUAUUGCUUUUAUGUCUUUUGAGUUCUUAUAGUGGUAGUACAUGUUCUUUAUAGCUGGAUGCUGUGGAUUUGGGUUGUGUAGCUUCAGCAGUUCUGGUGCAGAUCAAAAUGGAAGCUGAAAUCAUUCUUAUUUCAUAUUUGUAGUCAAGCUUAUUCUGGAUGAUUUUCUCUGGUACUUUUGCAUUGAGGUGUUGUACAUCUUUCUUGGUGACCUUCUUUGUGAAUGCCUAUCUAUAUCUGUGGAAACUGGAAACUGGAAAGUAUAUCUUUUGUUGCCACAUCUUUUUUGUGACGGGAAUAUUGCAAGUGCGGAUGUUGGUAUUGUGACAUAUCUACCAGUAGGAGGAAGAAUAGGAAGUAUCAAUGGAUUUUGAGUGAGAUAAAUGGAAGUGAAGAAUAAUAUGAAAGAAAAGGAAGAGAAGACCAGUACCAGCCCCUUAACACCUUCCAUAUUGUUCUUUCCCAGUCAGUAUCAGUGGGUAACCAAUCUGAUAUCCAAACUUAAAUACAUGAAUAGAAAUAGGUAGAAGCCACUCUGUUAUGAUCUUUCUAAGAUUACACGAGGCUUUCUCCUAGAUACUUGAUCUAAACACACUUUAUGGGAUAAGGUUUAUUUAUGCAUUCUGGCAUUUUGUAAUUAUUUUUGCUUAUGGUUAAUCUUUUUGCUAGUGUUGAUCUUCUACAUUAUGCUCUCUAUUAGUGUUUUAAUAAUUAUACAAAAAAUAAUGUGGCAGGUAUUGGAAUUUGAUAAAAUUUUCCUUCAAUCCAAGACUCAGCAGGAGAGUUCUCCGAUAUUGAAUAGCAGACUCUGCUUGGAAAACAUAUGCCCAACUUAUCUCAUAAAUGGCACCCAACUAAAAUUUCAAAUUCAAGAUGUCUAUAAUUGCUUUGGGAUUGAAUUGACAGGUUUUAAGGUAUAUUAUAUUAACUUGUUUUCUGUUAUUAGCUUUUAUUAUAUUAGAUAAGCUUUUAUUAGCUUGUUUUCUUUUUCUUUUUGUAUUUUAGUGUAUACUAUAGUAAUUGUAUUCCACUUUAACUCUUGCAGGUGAACUUAUUUGAGCCAAACGUACCAAGAGUAGUCCCGGUGAUAGAUGAUUUUAAUGCAUCUUUUGACACUAGGCUGUGCAUCUUCUUUGAUGAGGCAGACUUAAAAAUUUUGGAGGUACUUCUCAAUUUUUGUGAUCUUGUAUGCUUUCUUGUGCAUGGUUAUGGUGCAUUAUGAAGCAUAUGCAUAUUUAUGAUAAUUAUGUUCUUGCUUCCUUCUGUUCUUUACAUAUUGCUUUCUUGUGAUUGUUUCUUUUUUGAAAGUUGAAAGAACAAGUUUCUUCUGUGAAGUUUAAACCAAGGAAGGCAAUACCGAAUGAUACCGUCCGGUACGGAUGGUACGUAUCGGUCCGAUGGUAUACCGGUACGUGGAUCACCCGCUACUGGACGGAACGAAAAAAAUAAUAAAAUAAUAUAUAUUUAUAUUUAUAUAUAAAUAUUUUAGAAAAAGGCGACGUUCGGCGACGUGACAUCGCCUUUUUCGGAUUAUAUAUAUAUAUAUAUAUAUAUAUAUAUAUAUAUAUAUAUAUAUAUAUAUAUAUAUAUAUAUAUAUAUAUAUAUANNNNNNNNNNNNNNNNNNNNCCGAGCGGUAUAUCGCUCGGUAUACAGUUUCGUACCGUAUCGAGCGAUCGUUGAAACUCCGGUAUGGUACGAAAUUGCAGACCUUGGUUUAGACAAUAACAAUAAUGACAACAAAGCGGUAAAGAAAGUUUAGACAAAGUCUGAAAUUCCAUAGCACACACUUGUGUCAGCUGGUGCCUAGAUAUAUUAUGUGCAGAUCAGCACAUCACCAAUAUGAAGAUAGUGCCAACACAAGUGAUGUUGGAGGAUGUAAAAGAAGAAGAAAACAGAGGACUGGGAAAGAAGCUAGAGGAAAGGAAAAGUAAAAAAAAAAAGGAGGGGAGAACUGGCCUUAUCUCCAGUAAACUUCUCUUUCUAUUACCUUCUUUGUUUUCCUUUCAUGUCCUGAAUUCGUACCCUGUCAAUGCAAGAUCUACAAAAUGAUUCAUUUCACAACAUUUGCCAUAUUCCAAUCACAAAAAACAAACAAAUUGGCUGAUGCUUCAAGACAUUAGCACUCAACUUGGACCAAACCAGUAUCACUAAUGUCUCUAUUACAGUUAUAAGCAGUGAUUUAAAUAGGCGCCCGAGCGCUCACCUAGGCGCUCAAGCGAGGUGAGCCUUGAACGACUCAUGGGUGGACUAGGCAGCGCGCUUCAAUGAGGCGCUGCCUUGGUGCUCGCUAGAACCUAGGCGCCGAGCGCCUCGGGCGAGCACUCGGGUCAGAUAAGGCAAUCGAACCAGACUUUUAAGUUGGUUCGAUUGAACCAACUAACCACUUUCUUACCCUCAAAAGCCACUCUUCAUGCUCGCGCGACCUCGAGCAAACCCUAGCACUGCUUUUGCCUUCGUCGCUGUUGCUUUCUAUCGUUGCCUCCACCGCAGACACAAUAGACUGAGCCUUUGUCGCCGACGAAUGGGUCCAACAGCUUUGCAUGAGCUCGUAGCUUCCUUCUGCUGUCACUCCGUGUGCAAUUCCUUCUACUGUCGAAGGAGAGGACUGUAGGUUCCUUCGCCAUCGAAGGACGCCCUCUGGAGCUUCUGCCACUACCGCUGUAGUUCGCAGCGCUGCUGCGACUGUCUUAAACUAAUCCUUCGCCGCUGUUGCUGCCAGCUUCUCAUGACUGCCUUCUCACCGCUGCUAUUGCCACUUUCCACUGUCGGUGACCCUUUAUCCCCCUCUGUUAUUGUUAAUAGUUCUUUUCUCCCCCUCUAACUACUAUUAACAGUAGAUUUUUAAUUUAAUAUCAUAUUUUUAUUCAAAUAAUCAUAUUUAUCAAUUAUGUUAUAUAUUUUUAUAUUUUUAUAUUUCAAAGCGCUUCACUUUGUUCGGGCUUUUGCCUAGUGCCUCGGCCGUUUUGGGGCCUUGACACCUUUUGGCGCUUAGCGCUUUUUAAAUCACUAGUUAUAAGUCAUCUCUUAUUGAUACUUAGAGCUGCUUUGGUAGGCAGCUUUUGGUUGAUAAAUAAAAAAAAAGAUUGCCAUGUUGGAACAUACCUUUUGAAACGAUCUAAGCAAAAUACCAUGGCACCUUCAUUUUUAUUUUAGGUAAUGGGCACAAUGUGGCACCUGGUUAUGUAGGCUUGUUGAAAAAGAAAUGGCCAAUAUGUAAAAUCAUUUGUAUCUGAUAAUACACUAUUAUAAAUAGGUAAAAUGACAUAAAUUCUCAAGUAUUCCAAUUAAUGGGCAUCAAUUAAUAACAUGUCAGUCAAUCAUAGUUCACAUAUAAGCUUGUCAACUUUUGUCUCCAAAAGUAUGUCUUUGGACUUUGGAGCAAUGUUAUCAGCCAUCUGUUUCUUACUACGGUAUCCAACAAUUGCAUUGUUCUAUGGCAUACAAAUGAUCUAAGUAACCAGAAAUAUUGGAAUAUUUAGCAAUUGCAUCGUUGUGUGACGUAUAAUGAUCUAAUAGUUUGUAACUAGAAACAUUGGAACUUGCCGUUACAAGAAUUAUUUAUUAUGCAAACAAAUUAUGUGAACAUUGACCAAACUAACUUGAUCACAACCAUAAUAUAUAAAACCUAAACAGGACCUACCAAGUAUCAUCAAGAAACUAUCCUUCAUUUCUGAAUGAAGCAGGCUUGCAGUUGCUGAGAAAGGCAAGCUAGAGAUGAUAUCAGUGUUGCUGUUGGAGAGUUUCAUCUGACCUAUCUUGCCGCCCUUGGAGUGGAGCAAGAGAAGCUCCCAUAGGAACCUUUACAGCAGGAGAUUUUUUGAGCUCCUAUACAAAUCUUUGUUUCUUUCUUUCCUUUUCCUUUUUUUUCAUUCACAACUGUCUGUUGUACUUUUUUCAAUCUCUUAAUCGAAUGAUUUAGCAGUUGCUUUGCCCAUAAAGGAAUGUUAUGCUAUAUGUUGAUCCUUAUACAAGAUCUAAAACAAGGUUUUACCUUAUGUUCAAGUCGCAUGUUUAUGCCUUUCCACAGACUGGUAGUUGUGGCUUUCUGUCUGGGGAUUUUGACAUUUGUAUGAAUGAGUUAUUUUUGUAAUAUCAUUAACUUUCACCUAGUCUCACAUAUUACUGAAAAGUUUAUCUUCUUGUAUUUGUGCCUAUUUAUCAAUAUUAUAUUUUGUUGCAUAUAUAUCUAUACUAUAUUUUGUUGCUUCUUAUGCUUGGUAACAUCCAAAUGUCAUACCUCUUUGUUGUCUAGGUUGAUCUUGUUGUACCAUUUCUUGCAAUGCAUUUCUCACCGAAAAUAUUCAGUGCUCUACUUAGAGCACAGGAUGUGUUGUCAGAACAAAAAUCUCAAGUAUUUACAGAGGGCAUUUCGUAUGUAAAUGAUAUCAGUGUACACAAUUGGCCUUCCCUCCAAUUUUCUGUGUCUGCCAUGUUGGACAAUUGGAAAUUCAAUGUCGACCUUGAAGAUGAUGCAGAAAACAGUGCAAUUAUUUCCUUUACUUUCGAGAACCUAUUCUCUAGGUUGGUCAUUUAAUAUUUGUGUAUUUCUAUUUUUUUUUGUCCAAUCUACAGAAUUUCCUUCUCAAUUGCAGGUGUGCUCUGGAGGACUCUAUGAAGUUUUGGUUCCUCACAAAGAUGUUGACAAUAGAUUACUGUUGUUUCAAGGAUGGCCCAAAUUGUAGUACAUUAUGCUCAACAAGAAAUGAAAUAGGUGGCACAAUCAACACGAGUGCUGACCAUGUUGAUCUCAGCAUAUCAGAACUGCCUUCCUGUGAAAGUCCGAGGCAUGGUUGCUUCGAGUUGCAUUACCAAGCUCAAGCAUCUCAGCAGGAAUGCAGUCUCUGCUUAUGCGAUGUCGAUCUCCAUAUCUAUCCUAGAAUUUUUGGUUUGUUGCAGAAGUUUUUCAGCAAACUUAAAGCGCAAUUUUCUUCAUCUGACACUUCUGUCAAGUCCUUCAGAUUGAUUGAUAGUAACAUGGAAAUGAUUGACAAUGGGACUUCUAAGUUUGGUUUCUCCAACUAUCACAAUAUUGAGCAUAAUAUAUUUGGCAAAAUUGAUAUAGACCGAUUUGUUCCCGUUAUGAAAUCAGGUUGCUUAAACAGUCUUGAAGGCUCUAUGAUCUUUGAUGCUCCAGAAUUAAACAAUCUGUGUGCUAAGAAAAAUGAAUGUCCUAAAGGUGUGAAUUUAAAUUUCAGGCAAGGGCAAACAGUGAAGGAUUCUGUUAUGACUUCACCCACAUCUAGCAGAAUGGCUGAACCAUUCAUGAAUUCUGAUAAUAAUUGUUUUAGUAUGAAAUUCUCUCUGAAUAGGGUUAGAGUAUAUUUUCAUGAUUCUUCUUGCAUUUUGGCAACACUUACAGUGCCUACAUCUAUAUCUUGCUUCAGAUUUUGUCAAAAUGAUUGUUGGGAUUUAGUAUCAUCUAUUGAGGGGUUAAUGCUUUCAUCAUCAUGGUCUUGUCCCAACAUCCAUGAGCUUCUAUGGGGACCAUCAUCACCAAGCAAUCUCUCUGUAGUGAAUCUUAGUCUAAGGAAAGGGAAAAUAAAGAUGAUGCUUCCCAUCACAGAAAUAAAUAUCAGCAUUCAGCAUGUUUGUUGCAUCAUUUCAUCUGAGUUUCUAGCAUUGUUGAUAGGUUAUUUUUCUUUGCCUGAUUGGAUACUUGAUGGAAAUGAACAUUUGAGCCAUGAAAUUCUUGAGUUUGAGAAUUCUCGGAAUGAACAAAAUGAUUUGUUAUACAAGUUUGAACUGGUUGACUCCACUGUGCUUUUACCUCUUGAGAACCGUGAGUAUUGUAUACAGGUUGGAUUUCCCCAACUAGUUUGUAGCUUCAUCCCAAUGAGUAGUUCAGCAGAUUCUUUUACGGAGAUUCCUUUUGAGUGCAUGAUAUCAGGAUGUAUGGAUUCUGAGAAAGUUGACAUUGUUAAUGUGUUUGGAAGAAGUGCAUCACUGUCUCUUUUGUUUAUCAGGAAUGACAAAAACUUCCUGUUGAAGCUUGAUGAAUGUAUGUCUAACACAAGUGUCCCUCUCAUUACACAACUGGAUGCUGAUUUAUGGAUCCGAAUACCUUCUACCACAACAGAUGUUUCCCCACAAUCUGUUGUGCCUUUAUUGAUUAUGAUGAGUGUCAGUGUUUGUAACUUAAUUGCUCGGGGUAUGUCUAUGCUUUAGAUGCUUCAUAUAUAGACCAUUGUUUACCAUAAUUAAUUCUCUUAUGUAUUUGCUUGUUCCUAUGUUGUUCAGAUGACCACCUUAUACAUGGACUUGAAGCUGUUAUUGAUGCUGUUGAUCAGUUUUCACUGGUUCUCAAAAGAUCUGAAAUGUACAAGUCUGAUAUCAUGCAGUUUUUGCAAUGCAAGAGAAACAUCAAGGAGGAAGAUGUUGUUUCACUUAACAUCUCAAGCCAAUUUUUUGUUAGUGUAAGAUGUUGCAUAAAGACUCUAUCACUAACAUUCUGUCGCUUCAGGGCAGAAGAUUCUUCAUCUGAGAUGGUUGCAAAUGCAGAAAUGCAAGUUAAUCUAUCUGCCAUAAUGAGAAAUGAGGUGCUACAAUCUCUUGAUGUGAAUAUUCCAUGUGUAGUUGUACGCUCUUCUAGUAGAAAUAUUCUGUUAAUAUCUUUCACACCUGAAGGUGCUAGUUCUUCCCAUCUUUGUUUCAAUUUCUCCAGUUGCAGUGCUGAAUCUGAACUUCUGGUCACUGUAGCUUCUCUUGAUCUUUGGUUACACUUGUCAGACUGGAACAAUAUUUUUGAACUUCUUCAGUUCUACAUAACACACUUGGUCAGUACUCCAAUUUCUUCCAGUGCAGAUCCGCAGUCCGGGUGUCAUUUUGUCUUAGAUCCUGCCACGCCCACUUGUUUUGCAUCUGAAUAUGUUGUGCAGGAAAAUAUUAGUUGGAAACUUAAAUCAGAGAAUAUAACAAUUUCAUUACAUAUACCUAGCUCAAGUGAUGGAGAGCUGAUAGAUUCUGAAAUGAUUGAAAUAGCUAACAAAAAUUCUCAGGAACAUACCUGCAAUAAUUUAGUGGAAAAUAUGCCACCCUUCAAGGUAAAGAAUUGCAAUUUUGUGAAGAUCACUGUCCAUAGUAAAAGUUGUGAGAUGAUCAUAUGUGAAGGUUGUGUGGAACUGAAAUGUAAUUUGGAAAAGAUGAGGGUUACACUAGAGAUGGUUCAAAAUUAUGAUAUCACUUCCAUUCCAUUUAUGCAUGUAUCUCAGGUGAAGGCAGGAGCUAGUCUAUGCAGAAAGCAAGGGGAGUUGGUUUAUAUAUCUUCUGAGAUUAUUAUCGAAUCUUUAGACAUUGGAGUUUCGUAUCAAGUUUUAUAUUUCUGGAGUUGCUAUAAGUUAAGGGUUCCUGAAACAGCAUCAUCCCCAAUAUUUCGCCAUUGUUUGGCUUUUAAAGUCCAUUUCAAGAAGGGCUCUCUUCUUUUGAGUGAUGGAAGGGUAUGCCAUUGAACUUCGGCUUUCUAUCUUAUUUGUUGCUUGGCCAUGUUUGUUUAAGUUUCUGAAUUCUGAUGUGACUGAAGAUAUGUAUAAUGUGUACCUUAAAUAUUUCUGAUAUGGUUUACAAUAACAAGAGACAACUUCUGGAUAUGACUGCAUAGCUUGAUGACUGCUAUGAACACUUAUCUUGGCCAUAAAUGCUGUCAUAAGUUGGAAUGUUUUGUGUUGUCUUUUUUCAUUUGGGAGUGAAUAUCUUGUUUGCCGAUAAAUUCUCUUUUAAAAAAUUUCAUCUUCUUUUGUUCUUCACUAUAUUCUUAGCUUUCAAAAAUUAAUGUAUAAGCAUGCAUGAAUUCAUGACAACAAUUUUUCUAGCCGCAAGCAUGUUUUCUGUAAUAAUCAUGUAGGCCACCACUUUUUUUCUUAUUUGAAACUUGUUUCUAAUGGUUGCCAUCUAUAGGGUGAGUUGGUUUCAGCACUGAUGUUGAGAAAGUAUUUUAGUAUGCUGCUGCAUAGUCAAGUAAAUUCAUUGCGUUUUUUUUUUUCAAAUUUAACAGAAAAACGUUACAUGUUUAUAUGGUCUUUCUUUAUCUGGAGGCUGAUGUAAGUUUUACCCAAAGAAUAUGGUUUCUUUCCUACAGAAAUAAUAAAUGAUGUGGCUUUCAUUUCAAUGAUGCAGGAAGUAGGAACUUGUUAAAAUCCUUUCAUUUUCUGAGCUUUUGAAUAAUGUUUAUUGAGUCUGUUUAAUUCAGUUAGAAUCGGAUAGAGGUUUAUUUAAUAUUUUAUUUAUUAUUAAGAGUCCAAGUCCUGGUAGACUCUAGGUAGAACUCUAUAAAUAGUGAUAUAAUCGUUUCUUUUCGGCAGACAAUGAAAUAUUAUUAAGUCUUUUGACUAACCCUAGGAGGUCGAUCCCCUCGAAGUGAUCAUCCCAUUUUCUCCCCUUUCUUCCAUGAUAAAACCCUAGGGUCUUAUCAGAACUUCCCACUCUUACAAUGAAUUCUUUCAUAACAGCCAAUCACCUAAAAAUAUUUGGUUUUAGGUGGACAUAUCAAUUUCCAGUCAUGUUUUUUAAUUUGUCACCAUUUAGGAAAUGUUAAGAAGCUUUGCAUAUUAUCUCAAUUGGUUCGUCAUAUAUAAUGGUAUUUUCUAGGUGAAAUGGCAAAUUUAGAAUCACAGAGAAUUGAAAAGAUGAAAUAGGCCAAGGUUUAUAAAGAAAGGAUGUCAUGUUGAAGAUCCUUGCCAACAAUCGUAUUAGACUUUUCCAACAAAGUUGCAUAAGGCUUAUUUUAUCCAGAUGUUUUUUCAAGAUCGAAUUGAAGUAGAGUUUCCAGUUCUUAAAGAAUAGGCAAUAUGAAAAAGGUCCUAGUAUGCCAGAUAAGGGUGUUCAACUUCCAAGUUAGCCAGAUAUUCUUUUUGCAGUAUACGGAACGAAAGAUUGUCAUCAGCAAAUUGUAAGAAAGGAACACCAGAAUAAUUGGGGAAGGUUCACAAUUCUCUUAUUAAGCCGGUCUCCUUAUCAAAAGUGGGAAACCUGAGUGCAGACCUCAAGAACAAAAAGAAGAGAGGAUAGUAUCUCCUUUUACCCAAGGUUGCUUUUAGGGCAAACUGUUUUCUGAUUAUUAGGAUACAAUGUUACAUUGAGGAUUUUAAGCAAGUUAAAAGCUCAAUCUCAAUCAUCUAAUUCAGUUAGGUCCAAAACCUUUAGUUUUGAUGAGAUACUGAAAUACCAACCUUUUAUAUUAAAAUUUUCUUAGAGUGUAGCAUCAUCACUAGGCUUUUGAAGUCAUACCUGGCACAAAAGUAAACAAUUUCAUGGGCCAUAAUGAAAUAAUCAGCUAGGCAUCUUCCUCUAUCAAAUGUCACUGCAAUAGACGAAAAAUAUCAGAGAGAAUUUUGAAAAGUUCAGAAUCACCGUCCUGGUAAAAACUUCAAAAGAUCAAUUUUCAGAAUUUUUGUCUUGAAUUUUAGCUCACUUGACCCCUUGAACUCUUGGAAUGAUAGAAUUCAAUGCAUAAUUAAGAGUUUAAGACUACUUUGUUCUUAGGAUUAGUAUUCGAAUUGCACAUUCUAUGUUAGCCUGACAAUGAAAUGUUACGUUUUAUCAACAUGGUAUUACGGCAUGGCCGCAUUCUGAUACAAUUUUGCCAUGAGGGCAAAAAAGGUAAAUGAUUCUGAUACAACAUUCUGAUACAACUUUGCUGUGAAGAAAGACUAGGAAAAUAAAUAUAUAACGUGUCAAGACCAAGUUCUAUGGGAUUUCUCUCCUUGUGUGUACAGGCUCCUAUUACAUGCAAAUGCGCAAACAAGUCUCAAACUAAACCUCUUUUCUUCUGUCCAGUAGUAAAACCUCAGCCUGAAUAACUAACUUAUUCUAAUAAAAUAUAGCAAGUGCUAACCUAUUUCAUGUGAUUAUACUCUGUCAAUUGGUUCAAUUUUUUGGACUUACUCAACCUUUUAUCUUAUAUAAAAAGGGAAUAUAAGCUAUUUAAUCUAUCCCUGUUUUUUUUAAUAUAGACCUAUGUAAAUGACAUGACCAUUUUUGCUUGCAUAUUCUCCUUUAGUCCUUUGAUGUCUUUUGAUGUACCUAAUUAUCAGCACUUGUGGUAUUUACUGGGAUCAACUGGUGGUAAGACCAAUGGCAAGGUUUUUAGUCUUGGAAUUGGUGCUUGUACUAGUCCCUUGGCAGAUUAUAUGGUACACAAUAUGCUGGUGUAUUAUAGUACCAUCUGGUACUGAUCAAAUAAAAUAAGAAAUAAGAAAACCAAAAGGGUGGAAAAUCUGGCAAUAAAUUAGGAAAAUUAGAGAAAGAAUUCCUGUAGCCUCGGCCUAUUUACCUAAGUAGCACCUAUCACUGAGCUGUAUCGUCUACCUUCACUGUCUCUUCCUCUCCUCACUUCUCCAUUUGUCUGUGAUCCUACCACAAUUUUGAGGUCCCUAAGUCCUGAGUUUUGACUUCUUUAAGCAUACAAGGGGUUCAUGAACCAGUUCAACUCUACUCAUUUAGCGCUAAAAUGGGACUAGUCUCCUGUAUGUCAGCCUGGUUCGAAUUAGUCAAUGUCCUAUUCCAUACUUGGACCAAUGCAAACCCAUGCAAACCAAGCUCCCAUGCAAACCAAGCUGGAUGCCAUGAGUUUCAAUUUUUGGACUGAGACCUGUAUUGGUCCUUGACAGGAUUGGUAUGGUCUGGUACAUAACAGCAUACUGGCACAUGGUCAGUGUACUGAUCAACAUGAACCAAAGAGAAAGAGGCAGAGAAGAGGGGGUGGAGGAGGAGGAGGAGAAUGAAGAGGAGGAAGGAGAGGAAAGCUGCUGUUGACAGGCUGAGCGGUUUAAGAAAGAAGAAAACUUAAAAAGGCCAGUUUCAAACUGGUCCAGGCGAAAUUGGCUGAGUUCUAGUUCCUGGUUGGACUGAUAAAUACGUGUUAAUUUGUGCCGGUCUGGCCAGUUUUUUGAACCUUCCGUUUACCUAUGGGUACCUCGCAGGUGUAUGGUCUAUUGAAGCAUUGUUGAUUGUGAGUAUCUGGUUGAUUGCCAAUCGCAUGUUUCCAAUGUGUGAACUGUGAACUAUUCCUUAUAUGUAACUUAAUUGGCCUUUAAUGAAGCAGGCAAUCCGGCACAGCACAUAUCAUUGGACUCUUGAACUUCUCAUGGUUGCUGGGAGGCUCGUAUGAACGAGAAUUUAGAUCCUAGUUCUCUCUCCUGCCAUUCAUAUCUAUUAUAUUAAAGUAUGAUGAUUUAAAUUGUAAUGGCUACAUUAGGAACUAUUAACACACAAGUUCUUCUCGCACGCACCUUGUCUAACACCCACAAACUUAACAAAUGUUAAGUGACAAUUCUUGCAUCAUUUUGGCAAUCAUUGAUGGGAUGGUGCUGGGAAAGGGAUGUGACCAUAUCAAUGGGCUUAUAUGCGUUUGGGAUGGGAAUUGACCAUAUCACAUGGGUAGGUGUUCAACUAUGUGAUUGAUCAAGUAGGUGCCAAAAGUAUGUUUCCACAUUAGAUUGUUUGCAUAUAUCAUACUAUGGAGUUGGUUGAUCAUUUUGACAUUAGUUCUAUGGUCAUUACUUUGUUGUUGUAAAAGCCUUGUCCAGUUCUUGCAGUAGAAAUCAAUUAAUAAUUAUGAACUUAAAUCUUGUUAGAACUAUGUUUGAUACGGCUUCAGUUUCUCAUAUAAGUUCAUGUAUCUUUGACGUAGUGGAGCUAUCAUGGACCUAUUCUGGAGACCUUAAUGAAGAACAUGCUUAUACAGUUCAAUCGAACAGAAGAUGUCACAGAGGGUUCAGCUGUUGCUGAUCUGUUGAUUAACUACAAUAACAUUGAUAAGGUAUAUUAAAGAGACUUGUUUUACCAUCUUAUGUUGUCUUCAUAAUAUUUUGGUAUACUUUAUGAGUAAAUUCUUUGUAGGUUAUGUGGGAACCUUUUCUAGAGCCAUGGAGUUUUGAGUUGAAUAUGACAAGAAAAUAUGAAGGGUAUAUCUUGAAUGGAUAUGCAGUUACUGAUGUAUAUUUGAAGUCGACAAAGCUACUUAAUUUUAAUAUUACAGAACCACUGGUUGAGGUACAAAUUUACUGUUCUAGUAAUUUAUCUUUUUGUUUCUACAUCAUUACUACAUGAGGCACCUAGGAUGUGCGAGGGAGUUAGCUAUUUGGCAAUAUUUUUAAAUUUUAGUGCAAUUCUUGCUGAAUUUGAGUUUUUGCAUGUAUUUUUUAUUUAUGUUCAGAACAAUGCAAAAUCUUCCUCAUUGCUUUGUGUCUUAGAGUGGAAGUUGUUCAUCAGUCGUGUCUUUCAUUACCUUCUGGCUGGAUACUUUGGCUAGGGAAUCACAGUUCAACUUCGUGUGCUGCAACAUUCAUAUUAUUGUUUCUUUUUUCCUCCUAAUCUUGAAGUUCUGUGCAGGCUAUCUUCAGGCUAAAUCAUGUGGUUAAUGAUGCUACUAAUCUUGCUGAUGCAUAUGGUUUCCAAGAAACUCAUGGAAUCUUGGGAUUACAGACUACUGAAGACAUACGUAAAAGAAGAUAUGCCCCAUACAUUCUCCAUAAUGACACAUCUUUGCCUCUGGCAUAUCAUGUGUACCAUGGCCCAGUUGACAUGGAUAAUAUCCACAGCUUUCCUACAGAUGAUGGAAAUAUUGUUCAACCAGGUUUUUCUGUUCCCAUUUAUGUCGAGGAAAAUCUUAAUGAACAAUAUUUUGAACGCAGAGCUUCAUAUUCUUCUGAAAGGCUUAUAGAGAAAAAGAUGAGUGCGAUAGCACAUCAUAUGAUGUCUAUCCACUUUGAAGGAACUUCUGGGCCUUCAAGACCUAUGUCAAUGGACCUUGUGGGCUGUAGUUAUUUUGAGGUAAAUUUUUCUAAAAGUAAGCAUUCUAUUCUUGUUGAAGCAGAAAAAGAUGGCAAGAUAUUAGGAUGUAGUUGGCAGACUGAGGAGCAGUGCAAAAACGAACAUUGCAAGGGAUUAGUUGUUCCUGUCGUAUUUGAGGUUUCUAUGCAGCAUUACAGCAAGAUUAUAAGACUAUACUCAACGGUAGUAACUGCAAUUUGUUUGAUAUUAUUUUAUUGUUUCAUGCAAGAAAUAAAUUUGCUUUCUGCUCCAGGUUAUAGUUUUCAAUGCAACUUCAGUGCCCUUGGAGCUACGUUUUGACAUUCCAUUUGGUGUGUCUUCUAAGGUAAUGAUUUCUUUAUGAGUUAUCAAGUCACUAGCAAAAUAUAUUGAUUAAUUGGGUCUGCUGCUCACAGUACAUCAAUGCUAUUGUUUUCAGGGUAAUUUGCAUGAUUUUGGUUAAUUUCUAAUUUUUUUUUUCUUGAAAUCACUUAAUUCCAUUCAGAAAUUUUGCAUUAUAGCUAUGUACUGGUCCAAUUUAAAAUUUUCAUCUUUUAAUUCUGAUGUUCCUGCUUUCAUUCUCAUUGGAAGUCAGUUUAGUAGGAAUUUGCUCCAACUUCAAACUAUACUUGUAAAUGGAAAAGUCUGGAUAUUUUUUCUAACUUUUCUCUGUUUUAGGUCUUAGGACCAAUACUUCCAGGGCAAGAGAUUCCAUUGCCACUGCACUUGGCUGAGUCUGGCCAAAUUAGGUGGCAUCCAGGUGGCACACAUUACUUGUGGAGUGAAGCACAUUCACUAUCAAAUAUACUAUCUCAAGAAAAUAGGCUUGGAUAUUUGAGAUCAUUCGUGUGCUAUCCCUCUCAUCCUAGUAGUGAUCCAUUCCGUUGUUGUAUAUCUAUUCAAGAUCAUGGUCUGUGUUCAGCAGGUGCUGCAGAAAAACAUUCAUCAAUUAAUAUUCAUGAGACUGAACAACUUAUCUUCAAAAGUAACAAGUCAAAGUUUCCAAAGAAACAUGUUAUACGCCAUGUGAGGCUGAGUACUCCUUUGUUGGUGAAAAAUUAUCUUCCUACAUGUUUAUCCUUCAUUGUAGAAACCGGUGGAGUCACACAUUCUGUUUCUCUUUCAGAGGUUUGGUUAUAAGCCGCUUUAAUUAAUUUUAUCUGGAUACUGUGCUGUUUUCUAUAGUUUUGAACAUAUUACUUUUAUUUUCUAUAAUUAUAUUCUUACAGUACUUUAGUUUCAGGUCGGUACUGCUUCUGUUUAUCAUGUUGAUUCUGCACAUGACCUAGUACUAACUUUUGAAAUGAAAGGAUUCAGGCAAGUGACAUCAAAGUUUCCUCGAGCAGAAUCAUUCUCUUCUAUGGGCAGGUUAAAUGGUUCCUUCUACUUUUCAUCUGAAAAAUUGGCGUUCUAUCCUGAAAACUCAAGUGGUAGUAUAUUGUUUAAAAUGUUUGCCUUAAUACUGUUGAUAGAUCACAUAUGUUUUAUAUAUAGGCUGACCUAAUUUUUAAUUAUGUUAGGUUCUGUAUGUGUCACACUUGAUAAAACAAUGGAUGCAUCUUGUGGGGCAAGAGAGAUAUGCCUGUCAGUUCCCUUUUUGCUUUACAAUUGUACCAGUCUGUUUCUCACCAUCUUAGAUGUCAACCAUGAGGGAAAGGGAAAUGCUGUUGUUAUUCCUUCAAGUUAUUAUGAGAUUGAGCAUAAACAGCUUCUUGAUGGAAAGGAUGGUCUUGCCCUUAUAUCUUCCGAGUCAAUAUCAUCUUCUGAUCCCUUUCUUUUAGAUAAUAAUUUGGAGGCCAGAAAACAGGACAAUGUGUCUACAAAAAUGGAUUGCGAUCAAUCUUCAGUGUCUUAUGAAGUUUCUCAUUAUAGUGAAAUAGGUCAUAAAGUUGGAAGCAGUCCAUCUUAUUUGCCAAGGAAAGCUGGAAAGGAUGCUGGCUAUAUGCAUGAUGGAGGCAGCAGAAAAGCUAAGCCAUAUAUCUAUGGUCCUACUGUCCGUAUUCCAGCUAAUGAACUUCUGGUUAAGCUGAGCGCUGCAUUGUCAAAAUCCAGAUCUAGCACCAGUCACAACCAAACGUGGUCAAAACCAUUUUCUCUUGUUCCAGAAAGUGGGUCAACAAAUAUCAUUGUCCCUCAGCCAUUUGCUUCUGGUGCAUUUUUAAUAUCUGCUGCAUCAGUCCCUGUUGCUGGAGAGCUGUCCGGGAGGACAAGGGCUAUUACUUUUCAGCCUAGGUAAUUUGCAAAGUAAAAUAGGACAUAAUAUAGGGUGCACAGUAAAAUGCUAUCCAAAUUUUACCUCUUUGUUUUAUGUCAUUUAUAUUUUAAGUUUAAUGUUGCUUCCAUAUUCUUAUUCUGGUUGCUAUCUAUAAAACAUUUGCUGUAGCAAGAUGGAAGAAGGCAAUGAGCCUUAGUUUCAUUAAAUGAAUGACAUAAAUUUAACAAAGGAUCAUCAGAUGGGAAUCAAAAGCAGCUAACUGGUUCUUAUUCUGCAUGUGCUUUGGAUUGGUAACUUCUUCACACAGACAUUAAAUCCAUUAUAAGCAGCAACCAUGUUGCAAGCGCUUACUAGUGGAGUUGAAAAGACAAAAAAAGGUUUGCUUUUUCUCUAUACUAGAUUUGUAUGUUUAGGAACAUAGUUAAUUCAUAUUUCUGUGAAUAGGUACUUUUUGAUGAUCAUGAAAAUGUAAACAAUCUCCUGCUAUCCUCUAAUAUAUUUUAUUGUGAUUAAAGGCCUUCUGUAGGUGAUAGACCAUUCCUUUCUUUACAAUUGUUAAAUUUUAUAUGUUUUUCCUUGUUAAGUACUUUUAAUCAACAUGCAAGUACUGGUAAAUUACCAUACAGCUUUUUACCAAUAUAUUGGUUAAGAAAAUGUGAAAGUGCAUUUCUCAACCUCAAUUUUCAAUUAUUUCAGUAAUAAUGUGUAGUUGGUAUACUGCUCGAUAGAUCAUAUCAGUUAUCAUAAGUCAAAAUCAGUACUGGACUGGUAUAUAAAACCUUGUUUCUGAUAGCUUAAUGCACCCUGGUUAAUCUCUCUUUUUUUUUCCUUGCAGAUAUGUCAUUUGUAAUGCGUGCACUAAAGACUUGUUUUACAGACAAAAGGGAACUAACAUUUCUUACCAUUUGGGUAUUGGGCAACAUUCUCAUCUUCACUGGUCCGAUACAUCAAGGUUUCUGCUAUUGUAUUACAAUAUAACUUACUGUCUUUAGUGUAAUCACCCCAUUUACUGGUAUCCCAGUCUCUUAUGCUCUGAUUUGCAUGUAGAAUACUUCUCGAAAGUGAAAUAUAGUUAGUUUGGUAGUGUAUAUUCACAAUCUAAGCAUCAAUUUAAUGUCAUUUUCAGUUGAUUCAUAGACAUUGUAUAUUUUCAGUGUUAUUUUAGAUUAAUAAAUUUUUCAAUGCAAAUACUCAAUCAAGAUGUUGUUAAAAGGUAAUAUUAGUAAUCAGAGUUUGUGAAAUACCUCUUAAAUGGACAUUCGUUCCACUUCUUAGCCAUACUAGGAGUUAUAUAUUAUUUGGUAAAUUAAUAGGAAUUUAAGUCAUGGUAUGGGGGGAAAAAGUGUCUGAUGUACUGCUCCAUUGACUUGUAGAAUCCAAGAUGGCAUAAAAUUGUUUCAUAAGCAUGUUGAUUCCAGCAUGUUAUAUUCAUUAUAGAUGCAAAACUUGUCUAUUGAUGCAGCAUAAACUUCUGGAUCCUUACCACCUCAAGUUCCUAUAUGUUAAUUGGAAGUAUGUUUAGUGAUGUUCUGUUGACCUCCACUCUCCAAUGACUAUUUGAUAUUAAUUCUUUAUAGACAAGUAACUGUAGGUCUCACCACUUGACAGAAGUUAAAAUUAUUGUUGGAAGUUGCAGCUCAUAUUAUAUUUACACUUGUCAUGUUGGCACUUAUAUUAGGUAAAGAUUACUGUUAAACUUUUAAAAUCGAAGGCAAUUUUGUCGAGAAAGCAUAAAAAGAUUAUUGUCUUUGACCAAUGUCAAAGAUCCUGCAUGCUAUGGCCUCUAACAUCUAUAUAUAGCUAUAAUUCUUAUAACUGUUGUGUGCUCCUGCGGACUGAAUUUAGUUUGUUAGCUCUUUUUUUGGCAUUUUAGAUAUGGCUAUUUAAACUGCUCAUGGUUUUAUAGUCUCAUUCCAAGAUCUUAAUGUGGUUCGAGUUCUUCAACAAAAAAUAAUAAUAAUAACUUUUUUGUUAAAGUAUUUGUUAAAAUGUUGCUUUCACUUUCUUUCUUUCAGCACCUCAUGUAAAAUAUCUUGUUGAAUACUAAUUCAUGAGCAUUAAGCUGCUGCAGAGAACUACUCAUUGCCCUUCGAUUUGGUGAACCUGGUUCUCAGUGGUCAGGCAGCUUCCUUCCAGAUUGCCUUGGGGAUGCUCAAGUGAAAAUGAGAAAUUAUAUAACUGGUGUAUCGAACAUGGUUCGAGUUGAAGUACAAAAUGCUGAUGUGUCAAUAAGCAAAGAAAAUGUGAUCAAAAACCCCAGUGGACAUUCUAUGACACAUCUAAUUCUUCUAUCCGAUGACAAAACUGGGUUUAUGCCAUAUAGGAUAGACAAUUUCUCGAUGGAGGUAAUUGCUUCCUGAAGCAAGUUUAUUAUGAUUUUACUGGCCUCAUGGUACAAACGAUGUGUUAUUUUUAUUCUUGCUAACAUUUCUACUCAAACCAUUUUCCAUUCUUAUAAUUUGUUCAACUAAGCUUGUUCAUAUUUGCUAUUCCUUAAGGUUAAAGUUAUCUUUGUGAUAAGUGUAAGAUUAAAAGGACAAAAUAAAUGAUUUUGUGUGUUAUAAAGAGAUUUAUGUAGUUAUUGUGCAUCGAGCUAGUAUAGCAUGUGAUUUUGAUGUAAUGUAAAGAUGAGGAAGAUAUUGUUUGUGGAAUUAAAACAAGAUGGUUAAAAUGAUGACUGUCAAGAAUAUUGCUUGAUUAUGGUAAAUGUCAAUAUUUCAAAUACUGGUUGGAGUUCACAGAUGGAGACCUGAUUGAAACCAUGAAUUAAUAUUUAUAUGUUCUUAAUCAAGGAAUGCAUUUUCAUAUCAGACCUGUACCAGUACAUGGUCGGACCAGUAUAUACUGUCAGUAUUGGUGUAGCAACACUUGGUACACUGUUAUGUACCGGUUUGUGAGAAAAGGCUGAAAAAUUAGAAGAGGAGGCAGCAGAGCAGGGAAGGAGGAGAAGAGGGCCUAGAAGAAGAGGAGAGGCAGUGAUGCAGAAGGAUAGGAGGGAAGGAGGAGGAGAGGCGGCUGCACAGAAGGAGAGGAGUGAAGUAGGUGAUGGAAAAAAAUGAGGGGAGAAGGCUGCAACAGAGGAGGAAAGGAGGCUGUGGAGGAGCAGAAGAAUACCAAGUACCAACGCUAGGGCUGGUGGCAGCGGCACACAUAGGCAGUGAUGGAAAGCGAGAAACGAGGGAUGCAGGUGAUGGCUGACACAGACAUGGGGGAAGGGGAGAAUGCAGGAGAGGAUAACUCAGGGUUUUACUUUCUAUUUUCAAAAUUUAUUAAAAAACGGGUUGGGCUACUGCCUGGCCCAGGCCCAUUACCGGGUGUGAACCCGAUAGUAAGCCUGGUUCACAAGGCUUACCAAGUGGUAAGCCUGUAUUGCACCUGAACCGCCUGAAAUUGGGCUGGUCCUCAUGCAGGUCAGCAAUCAGACUGCUAAAUACUUGUCAUACCAUACCGAACCAGGCGGAAUUGCAUUCCUUGCUCUUAAUAAUUAAUAUGACUAAGUAUAUUGCCCUAAUGGCAGCAAAAGAUCCAACCAAUCGAUCCCAAAUAGUUGGGAUAUUACAGCUUGUUGUAGAGUGAAAAUCUCUGUGGCUGGACUUUAUGGAGAGAAUUCAUAUUGCUGACAUUCUUGUAAUUUGGGUUAUGCAGAAAUAUGUUCAGAGUCCGACUGCUGUGUCUCUCUUUAUCAUCCCCGCCUGUUUUUUUAUUCCUUUUAUGCCCAUUGUUUUCAUAAUAAACUGCAUUGGAUAGGCUUCAUCUAUUCUUUGCUCUACAAAGAAAGUACCAAUAUCAGAUAGUAAAAAUGUGACCAGGAUAGAAAAUUGAUCUUGUACCAUUAGGACUUCUAAUUUAUACUGCUGUAUUCCAUAUAUUUUGAAGCUUGGUAGAUUAGCCUUUUUGCAGAGACUCCUUUUUCAUCAAAUUCAAGUGCUGCCAUCAAUGAUUAGAAAACUUUUUGUCAACCAUUGCUUGUCCUAUACAAUUGAAAUAAUUCCCUAACAUAGGAACAUCUCUUUUAUAGAAGUAAAUUUUAGCUUCAUAUCAUAUUUCUCCCUCUGCAAGCUUCCUUAUAUAAAAAAAACUUGAUUGAAGUGUAUUAGUUAAUGUUGCUUUUGUUAUUCAGACAUUGCGGAUUUACCAACAUAAAUGUGAAUCAUGUGACACCACAGUACAUCGUUACACAUCUUACCAGUAUGCAUGGGAUGAACCUUGUUACCUUCAUCGUCUCAUUGUAGAGGUAUGAGCAAUGUCUUCUCCUUUUGGGCCUUGAGCUUCCAGUUUCAUCGUUAUAUAUGUCAAUGUGUUUUUUGUUAGGUUCCUGGUGAGCGAAUUUUAGGAGCAUACAGUCUAGAUGAUAUAAAGGAGCAUGCACCUGUGUACUUGCCUUCAACAACUGAGGUACAUGAAUAUCAUUUUUUGUUGAGAAUCAGAAUUAUUAUCCAUCUCAUCAGUUAUGCAAUUGAUAGCUCUCAUGUAUAAAUAACUGUAUUGCUGUUGUUAUGAUGUUCCUUUUCUUGGAUUGUAGGAAGUUGUGAUGUAAGUUGUUGGAAGAAACAUCCAAGUCAUCAUCUCUUUUGGCAUAAAUUUCCUUUGUAAUCAUUGUGAUUUUCUUCUUUCUUAGCUAAGAAAAACUUAGUCAUAUGGUCUGUUGGUUAUAUUCUUUGCAGAAACCUGAAAGAAGGCUCUAUAUCUCGGUACAUUCUGAAGGAGCAGUCAAGGUAUCUCUUGUUCUUCCAAGUUCUAUAGUCUGAUAUAGAAUUUUUAUAAGGUGCAUUACUGAAUCGCUGAAUAUUCUUCAUUCUCAUGCUACAGGUGCUCAGUAUCGUCGACUCAAAUUAUCAUAUUGUAAAUGAAAAAGAGGGGAACAAUUUCCUUGGAUCCAGGGAUAAAAAGGUUGUUGAUCAGAAGAUGGACUGUCAUGCUGGUUUCACUGAAGUGUUCACAUUACAUGUUCCGUUUCUUGGGAUUUCCUUGAUGAAUCCCACUCCUCAGGUAAAUGAAGUAUUUCUAUUCUUAACCAUGAUACUGUAUCGAUAGUUUCGAGUAUCUUGUCAUCAAGAGCUUAUUGUUUAUUUGAAGGAAUUGGUUUUCGCAUGUGCAAAGGACACAACAGUUGUUUUGAUGCAAAGUAUGGAUCGUCAAAAGAUAUCAUUCAGAACCUUAUCCCUUCAAAUUGAUAAUCAGCUGCCUGAUACUCCGUAUCCCAUAGUGCUCUCAUUUGACCAAGGACACAGAGGCCGAUCCACAAACAUCUUGAAAAGUGGGGAGAAUAAGUUAAAUUUUCAGAAAGAGACGAAUUUUGAAAAUACAAUUGAACCUGUCUUUUACCUUGCUGCAUCCAAGUGGAGGAAUAUGGACAAAUCAUUGGUGUCGUUUGAAUAUAUAGACUUAGGGUACUUUUCAGUUCUUAAUUUUACAUUUUUUUAAUAUGUGCAUUGAGGAUCUCAUGUAUUUAUGCUAUCUCUUUGUAGUUUGGCCCCUAUGUGUAUUGAGCUUGAAGAACAAAUACUAUUGAGCUUGUUCGAGUAUUUUAGAGCAGUAUCAUCAAGACUAGAGAACAUAAGCGUAGGAAAAAAUUUUGGAUUGUGUAACCGGAACUGCAGUUCAGAUGGGAACCUGGAUAAUGCUCAGGAUUAUAAUGGGAAAAAUGUGUUAACAGAGAGUGAAUUUAUUGGAACCGAAGAAAGGUGUGGAUUAUUGCCUUCUGUAUUUCCAGUUGGAGCCCCAUGGCAACAGAUUUAUCUUUUGGCAAGAAGGAAGAAGAAAAUAUAUGUUGAAGCUUUUGAACUGGCUCCUAUAACAUUAUCCUUAAGGUGAAUAUGUGAAGUUGCUAUUUACUGUUUUUCUAAGAUUUUUUUUAUACUAGAUAAUGAUGAAUAACAUGAGAAAAAUGCUAUAUCUUUUAACACAUUCAAUUUUUUCAAGGAAGAAUCUUCUUGUUAUCUUUAACUAAAAGUUCAUUGUUCUAAUGAUUAGCUUCUCAAGCACUCCUUGGAUGAUAAGGAAUGAAGUCCAUGCAGAUAUCGAAUCUUUAGUUCACAUCCCUAGUAACACACUUCAGGUAGCUAUGCUAUCUUUGUUAUGAGAAUUGAGUACUCCUGUAGACAUUUUCUGUAAGACAGAUUUGACAACUUUAUGGUUUAACGUUUUUAUUGGUAAAUCUAGAUGUGUAUUACUAGAUAGUCUAGAGCAUAAUAUGUAAAUAAUCACCUAGAUAUAUAGAUGUUACCUCAUUCUUAGAGGGAUUGGUAAAUUUAUAAGUAUGGUUACAAUAAAAAACAAAUAUAUGAUCCGGUCCCUAUUUUAUUUUCUUAUUUCUUCAUGUAUGCUUUCUCUCUGAUAUCCAAGCAUCAAUUUGUGAAUGAGAAAAGUUUGUUUUUCAUGUAGCUUUGUGUUUACUGACUGCAACUUGAUAACCGUUUUAAGCAAGGUUUGAUUUACCAGUCCGAGCCGGUGUGCCGGCUGUGCCGUGUCGCUCUGUACUGGUGUACCGACACAUGGUAUGUCGGUGCGUACCAAAGUUUCGACAAGGACGAAUAAGAGGUUGAAGAGGAAGGUCCGGUGGAGGAACAAAUGAGGAAAAAGGAGAAAGGAAGAAGAAGAAGAAAGAAAAGGAGAAGUGUAGCGAUACCUGGGAAGCAGCGGCAGCAGCAAAGGGAAGCAGUAGCAUCACAGCGGCAAAGAGGUGGUGCUGCUGCAGCAUCGCAACGACAAAGCGGCGAAGAGGCGGCGCCGCUGCAAGAUCGUAGCGGCGAAGUGACGAAGAGGCAGCGCGGCUUCCGCAUUACAGUGGCAAAUCAGUGAAGAGGUAGCGUUGCUGCAGCGCCGAAGAGGCAGUGCCGCUGCUUCGUACGCGAGAAGAGCCCUAUUAUGCUUCUUUUUUUUUAACGCUGAAAUGGACUGGUGCCCACCACUUUUUUAUUUUUUUAAUUAUUUGAAUGCAGACUGCCUGAAACAGGGUGGUCCGCGUAUCAGUCCACACCUGGACCGGUAUAUACCGCCCAAACCGUACCAUUUUGGGCGGUACAGCAAUCCCUGGUUUUAAGUAUAUUUGUGCUUUUGACCGUUGAAGAUUUCCUUUUGUUUAUAUGCUUGUCCUUAAAAGUGGUGAUUAUUCAAUAGAUUUUUUUUCUCUUCUGACAACAUAGUUCAGCACUGAUAGUUUGUUAAAAGGUGACUCCAGUAAAUAAAAAGAGUACUGUUAAUUGAACCUUAGAAGUAUUCAUACUGAGUUUGUUAUCAAGGGGAAAUUUUUGUACUGAGGAUAGUAACAUUAUGCAAUGUUUUGCUUAGAUGAAAACUUGAAACAUGAAGUGUUGAAUAUGCUUGAACAUAUACAAAAUGGAGACAAUAUUUUCUUAGUUGCUAGCACACUGGCCAUGUCUGACUUUCAAAGACUUCCAAUGAGUACCUAAGUCAUGUUUGUACCAUGCUGGCAGAUUGUUCAGAGUUCGACAUGAAGGUUCAAAUUAUACGCCUCCUUGCUUCAUCCUUAUUUCUUUGAAGUGUAAAUAGGCAUAUAUCUUUUUAAUAUAUGACAAGGGUCCUAAACAAAUGUUGUGUGCUAACUAACAUGAUUGUUCCUAGUAUUUAAGAAUCUACAAUCAGAUCAAUCUUUGUGUUUCAGGUUAAUCAGAGAAGCUAGGUAAUUCAUAUAAUUGGAAAUCUAGGAAGUGCAAAAAAGUUCAUCAUUCUCUAAACAACCAGCUAAACUAAGCUAUAAGAGUUUAACGAGAUAUGUAAGAUUAGGGCAGUAGGCUGCAUGAGGUUCCCUCUGCUGCAAAGUAUGGGGAUGAUCAAAUGUGCACAACCUCUCUCCAUCACAUUGAGAGGCAAUUUUUGCAAUUCAAACCCAUAAUGGCAGGUCAAAUAAAGAGAUGCCACUUAUGUGCCAGGGCUUUUGAACUGAUUACCGUGGAGAUCAAAACUGUCAACUUAAGAAAUUUUUGUAUGCAGAUUUUAUUUGUUCUCCAAUUCACUUGUUAGUUGGAUAAGAUGCUGUUGAAGUGGUUAACGGGAUAUAUCUAGUAUCAGUGAAAUUAUCAUUCUUGCAUCUGUGAUUCUCUAAGCAAGACAGAAGAUUUAUGAAUCCUGCAAAAUCCUGAUUUGUUCAGGCUUUGACCAGUAAAUAUGAUUCUACCUGUCUUAUUGCUUGAAAAUAUUCGGACAAUUGUUGCUUUGUUUUCCAGAUACUUGAAUUCGUGUAUACCUGUGGUGCCUGUUUAUAUUCCUUUGUAUUUUUUCAUAGAUAACUUUCAGUACCUUAUAUUCAUUUGGUUGCAGAGAGGUUUGAUGGCUCUUGUAGAUGUUGAAGGAGUGCCUGUUCAUUUUACACGACUUACACUAGCACAUCUUAUAGCUAGCCCAGAAUCAAUCCAAGAGAUUAUAACUAGACAUUACAUGAGACAGCUACUUCAUGAAAUGUAUAAGGUGAGUUAUGUAUAAUCUUUUACAGUUUCAGUUUACUUUCAUUUUCCAGUCCUGCUGGAGUGAAUUAUAAGGGGUUGAAUGUCUUGUCUAGUAAACUGGUACAAAUCUUGCAGCCUGAUAGCUCCGGACUUAUUUUCUUUUGAAUCCUGAACAUUUUUGCAAUAUACUUUUGUAUCAGAGGUUUCAGUCUGUUUAUCCUUCAUAGUAAUUAUAUACUAGGAAUUAAAAUAACUGAUAUAUCCACUAUAUAUCAUUAUGUCUCUUGUUGACUGAUUGUCAGAACGGGUAAAGUUGGGUUGUUAUGCUAAAAAUAAUAUAGGGAAUAUCAGACUUAUCUUUUUUGUUUUCUUUUUUUUUGGUAUGAUCAUUAGCUUCAUAGCUUAUCUUUCAUCAAAGAAAAUAGGCAACCUGGCAAAGCUAUCUUCCAUCCACCUAGAUAGCUCAGCAUGCACUAAAAAGGUGACCCAUUUCUUAUAUUUUUGCCAAACAGUGUCUAACUUCUUCAAGAUUUAAAUCGGCAUAAUCAAUGUUAGAUCAGUAUCUGUUGAUUGUAACCAUCGUUCGGAUUGUUAUUAAUAUUAGUUGAACUAUGGAAUAAGUUAUGUUAAUCCUUAGGGUGUACAAUAACACAUUUUGGAAUAAACUUUGGAAUUUAUUGUGAACCUAACAUGCUAGUUGAGUUUUGGGAAGUUGUCUUUGCAGUUUAAGGUCUUGUAGUUGACUUAUCAAAGAGGAUAAUUAUAUCCAAAUAUGUUAUUUUUCAAUUGAUUAUUGAAGAAUGGUAUUAUCAUUUUCAAAAUUCACACCUUAACUAAAACCUUUUAAUUUUGUGGUCUUUCCUCAACUACAGGUGCUUGGUUCUGCUGGUGUUAUUGGAAAUCCAAUGGGUUUUGCAAGGAAUGUUGGGCUUGGUAUCAAGGAUUUUUUAUCUUUUUCUGGCAAGGGAGUCUUACAGGUGAGCAACAUUCACAGUGUUCAAGCUUGUUAGAUGGAUGAUUCAUCUCUGUUUCUGAAAAUAUAAUUGACAAUUGUGGCAGAGCCCCAGUGGAUUAUUAACCAGUGUAGCUGAAGGUUCAAGAGGUCUUCUAAGUAGUACAGUAUAUGCCAUAAGUAGCGCUACUAGUCAGUUCAGUAAAGCUGCUCAUAAGGUAAUUUCUGUUACAUGAAUUAAUCAUUUAUACUAUAUCAUCAGGUUGUUUCAGAUUUUGACAUUUGGUUUUUCAGGGAAUAGUUGCAUUUACAUUUGAUCAACAGGCUGCUGCUUAUCUGGAGGAACAGCAGAAUCACCUAGAUUCACAUGGCAAAGGUGUACUGAAUGAAUUCUUGGAGGUAUAAGUUCAUACAAUUACUUCUAACCAAAAGCGCACAAAAGGAUUCCAACUCAGUAUCUUAGGUUACUUGUCUAACAUUUGAGCAGUACCUAUAGACAUGAUAAUUGGUAAAGUAUCUAAUACUAAUCUGUGACCCUACAAAUCUGAAUUCAAUCCUGCUUGUUAAUGAAAUGCUAUUUUUUCUAUGGAUGAACUUCUCUUUUACAUAAAAGGUUUCUUAAAAAGUAAACCAAUUUCUUACCUAAGUGAUGCAUAGUAUGCAUACUCUGUUGCUCUUCAAAGUGAUCUUUUGCGAUAAGGAAAAAUGUGUAGGAAUAUUAUUGUAUUUAUUGCACUAGGAUGAUGAAAUAAAGAUUAGUACUCUCCCCUUGAGGAGAAAGAAAAUUGAAAUGAUGAGAAAACGAAGAAAAGCGAGACAAAAUUACCUCUUUUCUUACUGGUAGAUUUAUCCUUGAAGACUUUAUCAAAGUGAUCUUUUGCGAUAAGGAAAAAUGUGUAGGAAUAUUAUUGUAUUUAUUACACUAGGAUGAUGAAAUAAAGAUUAAAACUCUCCCCUUGGGGAGAAAGAAAAUUGAAACAAUGAGAAAAAGAAGAAACAAGAGACAAAAUUCCCUCUUUUCUUAUUGGUAGAUUUAUCCUUAAAGACUUUAUCAAUAUAAAAGAACUCUGUAUGGUGUUAAUUAAACAACAGUGUAAUGUUUAUUUCGUAUCAGCACAUUUGUUUCUAAUAAGAAGGAUGAUAAAAUGAAACUUAUUUCAACCAAUGUUUGUCUAUUUUCAUACAGGGGCUCACGGGACUUCUUCAAUUCCCAAUUAGAGGUGCUGAAAAGCAUGGCCUACCUGGGGUUGUGUCAGGUAACUUGAUCUUCAAAUAUUGAGUGUGUUUGUGUGGCUUUGUAAGCUCAUUUUUCAUUUACCAUCAUACAGGAAUUGCAUUGGGAACCGCCGGUCUUAUUGCAAGACCAGUGGCUAGCAUCCUUGAAGCCACUGGGAAAACAGCACAAAGUAUCAGAAACAGGAGUCGACCACACCAAUCCUGUCACUUCCGUACACGGUUAUCAAGGCCUUUAGCCAAAGAACUUCCUUUGUCACCAUACUCUUGGGAUGAAGCUAUUGGAGUGUCAUUGCUUCUUCAAGCAGAUAGCUCGAGACUGAAGGAUGAGAUAUUUGUGAUGUGCAAACCACUCACGCAGGCAGGGAGGUUUAUAACUAUCAGCAAGAGGCUGGUUUUGGUUGCAUCGUGCUCUUGCCUUCUGGGUUUGGGCUCACCGGAGUUUGUUGGUGUCCCUCCUGAUCCAGAUUGGGUUAUAGAAACUGAAAUGACUCUGGAGAGUGUCGUUCAUAUUGAUAGGACAGAAGAGACUGUGAAUAUUGUUGGAAGCUGUGCUGAAUCGAUAUACAAGCAGAAAAAGAGUAGUUCUAGGAAUAGACCAUGGAAUUCUUCGACUUCUGCACCUGUUUUUCACUUGAGUGUUGAACUUGCAAACAAGGAAGAAGCAGAAGAUACUUUACAGGUUCUGUUAUCGACAAUUGAAGAAGGGAAAUCCCAGAGGUGGGGGAUGCGCAUUCUACAACGGAACAAUCUCAAGUAAAAGCAUGUACGUUAUUUAAUGAUCUAGCGUCGCAAGAACCACUUCAAUAUACCUAUGUUACCAUAUGGACUGAUUACCUAUUCUCUAACUCUUGCAGGAGUCAUUGGAUCUGAGGGUUUGGGAGAUCCUGGUGGAGCCUAUCUUGGGAGUGUAUAUAUGCACAAAGAGUAAUUUGAGAGAACAUGGUAGUUUCUUUUAUACAGAUUAGACAAUCCAGCGGCCUUAUCUAUUGUACAUUGUGUAAAUCAUCACGGCAUUUUGUGCCCCCUUUUGCGGGUUUGGACUAAAAGGUAAAUAAGAUAAUUUGAAAUGGAAAGCUAAUAUGAUACCUUUGUUUUUCCAUGCCAUAUUUGCAUACUAGGAAAUUUCUAGGAAUUUGUUUUUUGUCAGAAUUAGGUAAGGUGCAGUGUCCAAAAUGAAUAAAUGCCAAUUGUUUUGACUGUGAAUAACUUUAUUCAGGGACAAAUAUAUACCAAUUAUUACACAGCUAAUGCUUCACAUUAGGAUGGUGAAUGGUACUUUGAUCUGAUGGCCACCUAUUUUAAGAUCAAACUUUCUGUUGAUACUGGUUUUUGUAAUUGUGGCAUUUAGUUUAUGUUGAUGCAAGUAGAGGACCAAAUGUUUCAGACAGUGACUUCUAAAUUUGUUUCAGAUACUUGUUGGUAUGUCAGAUGAUUGUCUGUUGACACUCCCCCAGAAAGAACCUGUGUUAUUGUUCGAAUAAAAUUUUAGGAUAAUUCAUUUGGCUAUUCAAUCCAACAUCAUGGCUCGAUGGAGCAACAAUGAUAUUUUAUUAGAUAUGCCAUCACAUCUCCUUGAAGUUAUCCCAACUAAUUUUGGAUUUUCAAAGUUCUUCUCCAUUGACUAGUGGAACUUCUCUUCUGGAAGCAUUUGACUUUAGACCCAUCUAGAUAAUUUAUUAUAUUGCACUUUAGCCUACUAGCAUGUGAUUCAAGAAAGCCAGCUCAUAGAUAAAUCUCAUUGAAAUUUCCAACAAAUCAACUAAAGUGAGAAGAGAAAAGUCUGGAGCUACUAAAUUCCCCUUUUGUCUACAUGUGGAUCAAAAGUCUCGGAUGCAAUGGCCACAAUCUUGGACUUGGUGUAUGGGUAGAUGUUGAAUGAUGAUUAUUAAUAUGUGAAAUCAUCAUUUAGUAUUCGCUUCAAUAUUUUAUUAUCUUGGAUGAGGUUGGCUUGUUCUAAUUUCUGGAUUCCAAUUAAACAUCUACCUACUUGAUGCAAAUUCUGCAAUUCAUUUGAUUGAUCGAACAUAAAGCAUUAAUGAUGAUGCAACUGGAAAGUUACGUAGAGCAACGGUAAGAUUGUUCCUUUACGAUACGCAAGAUGACUACCACUAGGUUUAUUCUCUUGGUAUUUCGUCGUCGAAUCGUAUUACUGCUAUGGUGGAUGUAACACCAGAUUUGUCGUCUUUGCUUCAGUCCAAAGUCCUGAAUGAUGUUGAGAAGCCAAUAAAAUUAUUGGAGUCAUGAAAGUGGCCGUAUGAAUGCAAACUGAUGAGAGCUUAUUCUGGUGGACUGUUGCAUUGGUCAAGUGGCUGAUGCAAAUGCUGUAUCAGCUGAGAAGACGACCAAUUCACUCAUCACCUCAGGCUGAGGCUUUUUCCAAUCCCAUGAGGUGUUGGCUGAUUUCUUCUGACUGCUAUUCUAACUUGUUAUCACAGGUUCAAUGUUCAUGUAGAAGCCCCAAAUCGCCCGGCACUUCUCCCUCACCGACCGCACCAUCUCUCUCUCUCUCUCUCUCUCUCUCUCUAUAUAUAUAUAUAUAUAUAUAUACGUAGCCUUCCCUUUCCCUGCACUCAGCCAUCUGCUUGCAGAGCUUUCCUUCCCUUCAUUAAGGUACUACGACUCACCACAACAUGGUCGCCGGCUGCUGCACCAACGAGGUGACGGUCAACGUCAGCGUCCACAGGAUGUGGAAGGCGGCCGCCUGCGAGGAUCACAUCCUGCUGCCAAAGAUCAUUCCUCAGUACUUCGCUGGCGCAGAGCUCGUCGGCGAUGGCGAAGCUGGCAGCACAAAGACCUUCCACUUCACUCCAGGUUUAGAUUUUGAUGCUGCUUUCCGACAUUCGUGUGCGUGCGAGAAGAGAUCGCAAAACAAGGAUAAAAAAUAAUCUCACAUCGAUAAAAAGAAUCGGAUGAUACAUAUCGAAACCUUUUUGGUUGAAUUGAUGUAUGAUCUGUUAAUUGGAACUAAUUUGGCUAUUGUUGCGAUCCAUCGAACUGCAGCCGCAGAGCCACUGACCUUCGUGAAGGACCAUGUUGAGGUGUUGGACCACGGAAGCCACACGAUGAGGUACAAGGCGAUCGAAGGAGGUCACCUCGGCCGCACGCUCAAGUCGCACGCGUUCGAGGUCAAGUUCGAAGCGGCGGGCGCCGACAGCUGUGUCGUGAAGACCAAGACAGAAUACGAUACGAUCGACGACGCGCCGCUGCCGGAGGACGAGGUGCAGAAGAUGACGGACGUGCCAGUACGGAUGAUGAAGUCGGUGGAAGCCUAUCUGAUAGCCAACCCCGGUGUUUGUGCCUGAGCCCCUGAGCCUCUGAGCCGGUGGGCUUUCGUGUACCGACGUUGGUGCUUCCAGUGUCGUAGUGCUUGUCAUUGGGCGUGGAUCAAUCAAUAAUGAGGUGAUGCAGCAGUGCUGGAAUCAUCACCUUUAGAGUGAGAGAGUGAGAGAGUGAGAGAGAGAUAGGACAUGACAUGUUGAUGCCAUCUCUCUCUUUGUCUGUUCUUUCCAUCUUCUGCAAUGUGGUGUUUUGUGUGGUCGUUGAAGGACAUAUAUCUACAAAUAAGAUGUGAUUUCUUUGGUAUCAUGUAAUCCUUCUUUUUUGGUAUCAUUCUUAGUAGUCUCUUUUAAAGAUUCAAAGACUAGCGUAAUCCAAAUUAAACAUGGAUUUAAUUGAUUUUACUUAAACUAUAUGAUACGUUUAUAAUGUUUGUUCGUAACGAGUCAACCUUCUCGUAAUUUUAUUUACUCUCAUCCAUAAAUAAAUCAGUUACCGAUAAAUGAAUGCAUGAACAAACAAAUCGAUGUCACCUUAGUAAAAUAUACCUUGGGAUUAUAUAACUAAAAUUGAACAAAAUACCUUCUUAGACGACUAAAAUGGAUGCAUUUUGCUGAAAGAUUUUACGAUAAAAAAUUGAAGGUUAAUUCGUCGUCCAUAAAGUUUAAGUACAUAAGUGAUAGGUUCAUCCAUCGUCCAUAAAGUUUAAGUACAUAAGUGAUAAAACUUCAUCCAAUCUUAUGUUUGUUCAAAAUUUAUAUAAUUAAAUUUGAACAAAAUAUCUUACUAAAAUGGAUGCAUUUUGCUUGCUCUGAAAAAAUUUUACGAUAAAAAAUUGAAGGCUAAUCCAUCGUCAAUAAAAUUUAAGUACAUAAGUGAUAACGUAUCUUAGAACUUUCAUCCAAUCUUGUGUCGGUUCAAAAUUAAAUGUUAACAUGACAUGAGAUUUGACGUAAUAGUGAUGUGACCUUAUCUACAAACUCGAUAGAAACAAAUUAAUUCUUCUAUUUUUUAAGAUAAAUACUGGUAAUACGGCAACAUCAAAAAUAUUAUAUCGUACAAUUUGGUUCUUCCUCUUAGUUUCAAACAUGAAGCUCCACAAAGACGGCAAUAAAAUAAAAUUAACGAAGAAAAAUGCAACACGACAUCAACUCAUCGUGAUCUCACUCACCCUAACAAAGAAUAUAAUAAUAAACUACACCGUUGAAUGAACUGUUAAUUCUUUCAUUAAAUGCAUGAAAUACAUUUAUGGUGAAACUUUGUUUCUAACAUACAUACAUACAUACAUACAUACAUACAUACAUAUUUUAAUCUGACUAGCAUAUGCUUGAAGAAUCCGAUCAUUCUCGACUACGGCUGAUGAUGAUAUGGGGCUGCUCAACAAUGAAGACCGCAAAGUCUGCAUGCUUGUGAGCUUUGAAGUCUUCGCUUCAGUCAACAAAUACUAGCUAGUUUGAAUGCUUCCAAGUUUACCAUGACACCCACUUCUUAGAACAUUGAAUUGGGAUGAGGAUGCCAACAAGAGAAGAUGAACCGAUUCAUUGGCAUGGAGCGAUCUUCGCGUCAUCUCAGACCCCCCCCUUUUUCCAAUCUAAUCGAUGAGGUUACCUAAAGUUCAAACUUCAUCUGGAAGCCCGAGAUGACCCGGCACUCCAUCGCCGUCUAUAAAUGGACUCUUCCCCUUCCCUUCACCACCAACCCAUCACAGCCUGCAGAGCUCUCAUCCGGCAAAACACCUUCAUCGACGCCAUGGUUGCCGGGUGCUGCACCGAAGAGCUGACGCUCAAUGUCAGCGUCCACAGAGUAUGGAAGGCGGCCGCCUGCGAGGAUCACAUCCUGCUGCCAAAGAUCAUGCCGCAGUACUUCUCCGGCGCCGAGCUCAUCGGGGAUGGUGAAGCUGGCAGCACCAAGAUCUUCCACUUCGAUCCAGGUUUGGAUUCACAUCACCAAUGCUUCUUUCAGGUAACAGGAAGAUCCGUAAACUAUGCUGAUUUCAACUGGCAAUUCUGUGGAUGAGACUGCAGGUAUGAAGCCACUGAUCUUCGUGAAGAACCAUGUCGAAGUGCUGGAUCAUGGGAGCCACACCUUGAAGUACAAGACCGUCGAGGGAGGCCACCUCGGCCACACGCUCAAGUCGCACACCAUCGAGCACAAGUACGACGCCUUGAGCGCCGACACCUGCUCUCUGAAGAUCAAGGUGGAGUAUGAUACCAUCGACGACAAGGGGCUCCCCGAGGAGGAGGUGAACAAGAUCAAGGAGGGGUCGGUAUGGGUCGCCAAGGCUGUGGAAGGUUACCUGACCACCAACCCCGCUGCUUAUGCCUAAGCCUCUGGAAACUAUCCGUAUUGUCUGUCAUGUGUGGCUUAAUAAUGGUGGCGAUGCAGCAAUACUACUCAUCGUCACCACGAGAGAGAGAGAGAGAGAGUGUGUCUGUGUGUGAGACAACGUGACAUUGUUGCUCUGUUUCUCUCUCUCUCUCUCCCAAUCUUUGUGCGUGUGAAGUGUAACGUACGUACGAGGCCAAUAAUAAGUUGUGCUUUCCUUGGUAUUAUCAUUUUAAUUAAUAUAUGUGUGAGAUAUUAUCUCCUCGAGAAGACUGCUGAACCCAUCAUUUGUAUUUAAUUAUUCGAAAAUUCUAAAUUAUAUAUGUAUUUAUCUUUUGGUAUUAUUUGUCUCCAAACUAAUUACUAAUUAUCAUAUAUUUCGAAUUAAAUGAAUCGGAUAAUUGAUUUGGAGCCCCGUCGAUACCGUCUGAUCUCGAUCGGACGUCGCACCGAGCACGCCGGAAUGACAAAACUACCCCUCCCAAAGCUUUGCUUCCGGGGUAUUUUCGUCAUAUCAACAUCUCAUGUCGCUAGGGUUUCCGCCGCCACGGUGGCCGUGCAAGCGCCGGCCUCGGUUCUGCCGCCUCACAAGAUCAGCUAUCCGGUCUCCCGCAGCGAACCUCGAAACUGGACCGUCCGGUGCGGCUCUUAGUGGUUCGCGGGUCCCACUGUCACUCCUUUGUUGACGCAUAAUAUAGAGCCACGUCGUUGGUUUGAGUCUUCCCUGCUUGCUGCGGCGCGGCGGUUUCCCAGCUGGCCCUCGGGUUCCUGCCCCGGGUAAUGCGGUAAAGUGCGCCCGCACGGGGAAUUAAAAUAAGCCGGUGUCGACCAGAAAAGUUGGCUUACAUGAACUAGUUGAAAGCUACCAUUAAAGUAAGUCUUCCAUGUUUGCCUCUUUCCCUCCACUCCCUCCUCUGUUCCUGAGAGUUCCACACCUCUCGCUAUUCCCACGCAUGUAUAUUAGCACAGUGUGGCUCUGAAGUUGCCUCAUCUGUGUCUUUCUGAAAGGGAUCAGAGGAGGAGAUGACGAUAGGCGAGAGGAAGGGAAACGGCGGUGCUCUUCCUCGUUAGCUUCGGAUCUCUGGUGGCUGCCGCUUCUGAUUGAUAAGAAGGUGGAUCGGCCCCUGGAUUUACCUGCAGUGGAGCAGCUUAAGUGUGAGAGAGUAUGGAAUUCCGGCCUGGUUUGACGGAUCCGAGUCACGGAGUAAGAGAAAUGGUAAGCCUGCUCAUGCUUCGUUUCUUGUACUGCUGAGUAGAGUUUGCUGCUGCUGAUUCAUGUGCUGAUUCGCAUUGGCUUCUUGUUUCUGGCUUCGAUUCGAUCUGCAGUCUUCGGGAUCUUCAGAUCCGAGCAGUAGCACCAGCAGUGGUGAUUCCCAGAUUAAGCGCUGCGCAGAUUGUCGAACCACCACGACCCCUCUCUGGCGAGCCGGUCCUUGUGGUCCCAAGGUAUGCGGGUGCGACUGCCGGUCUGAUCGAUGCUUUCUUUUGGGCAUGUUUUCUUUCUUGAUCUGAUUGGUGGACUCGUGAUCUGCGGCUGCAGUCGCUCUGCAACGCGUGCGGGAUCCGGUACCGGAAGAGCAGACGAGCGGUGCCGGUGUCGAAGGAAGCAGGGACGGGAAUGAGGAAGACGAAGAGAGAGAUUGACGGCGGCAGUGGCGGGGAGAGGUUUGAGGUGUCCUUUAAGCUUCGGAUGUUGGGGCCGGGAUUGUGCAAGCCGAGAUCCAUGGUUCAGAAGCAGAGGAGGAGAAGCAUGCUUGGGGAAGUGGAGGAGGCCGCAGUCCUCUUGAUGGCCCUCUCGUCCGGCUUCCUACAUGCCUAGGUUUAAGUCGAACAAGACAAAACGACCUCCUUUUUUGGUGGAUGCAAUGUAGUGUUGUUGGCUCUAAUUAUCACUCUUGUGCUACUACUGUAUGAUGCUGCCAAGCGGUAUAGUGAAGCAUGUGGUUACCAUCUUAGUUAUAGUAAAACCUGGACUCCAAAACAGCGAUGAUAUCACCAAUUACUUUUGUGGUCGAGUUGGUGAAGCUUUGCUGCGUUGGAGCUCCUCGAAUAAUAAUAGUUUGUAGGUUCUAUCUAAAUAGUUUGCCGACUGAGAAGCUAAAACGUUUGUGCAUUUGGGGACCUUUGUGGUGAUUGGUUUGAGACAGCAUUAGCUUUUGGUAAUGGUUGUUGCUCGGUGAAGAAGCAUUAGUUUGAUUGUUGAAGGCUCAUAAUGAUUGGAAAUGUGUAAAGCUGCCAAUGCUGCUUGCGGAAUGAACCUUUUUGAGGCAACCGUGGGUUUGAGCUUGUGAAAGGUGCCAAAAGUUGGGAGGAUGUGUUGUUGUCUUGGACGAUUCCCUUCUUUUGGUUGGUCGGUGAUCAGCUGGUACUUGGGUUCUCUCGGUUAUAUCAGGUAAGAGUGUGCUCAAUCAUAUAUAUUUCUAUUCGAAAAUAGUUUAAUGGAUUGCUUAUUUCCACAAUAUCUAACCAAAUGCGAGAAUGAUUGAUGUUGAUUGCUAUUUGAAAGAAGUCAAUAGCUUGCUUAUUUCCACACUAUCUUAUUGAUUGAUAUUUCCAUAGCAAGAUGAUUGACCCUUUUUCUUUUUCUCUCUGUUUCAUUUAUUAUAAUUCUUCGACUGCAACAAUCACAACUGUUUCUUUCAUUCUUUAAUGUAUCAGUGCUUUAGGAUUCGUGUCUCUGUUAGAUCUGUUCCGAAAGAAAGACAAGUUUAAUCUAAUAAAUAAAAAAAAAGAAAAGGUCAGUCUGAUCAACGGUCGUGGAGAAGCGGAUGAAGGGCUGCAGUUUAACCCGUUACUCCAUCCGGAUCCGACCACCCUUCGAGUGAUGGCAGCCUUCCGUUCCAUCUCCGUCGUUUCCUACACGGCCGUUGGAAGAGCUCAUCGGGUUGCUUCUCCUUCCGCCGCAGGAUCUCCGGCCAUUUCGAGUUCACGGCAGCAAGCAAGCGAUCUGUAGUUCGCGCCGCUUUCGGGAGCGGAACUGGGAUUGCUGUUUUAGUCCCACAUCGCAAGGGGAGCGGGAGGGGAAAGUGGGGGGCUUGUAUAUGAGGGAGUGGGGAUCAACCGAUGAUCCAUACUUACCUGGACGGGGUCUAUGGGCGAUCAUGAAGGCUCAUGGCCUAGAUCAGUGACCUCCAUUGCACCGGGGAGGGGUGCUGGUCUACCAUCUCCCCAAGCGGGAGAGUGGACGUCAUAAUUUGUGGUAGAGGGGGAACGCGUUCGCGCGGCCCCCGCCAAUACUAUUCAAGUGUUCCGAUGCAACUCCAUAGAGUUUUCUGAGACUCUUAAUAAAAGCUGCAAUAUCUGCACUGUAUCACUCGUCGGCGAACUAUCCUUCGCAGAACAGACGUGUUUGCUGGGAUCAAUGCAGCCUUUGGUGCUCUUGGAAAUCAGAUCCCUCCCCUGUUGUGCCCUUGAAUGGGUUAGUGGUAAGAGAGAGCUCUUCCACCGGCCGUGUGGGAGACGACGGAGAUGGAAGGGGGAGGUUGCCGUCACUCGAAGUGUGGUCGGAUUCGGAUGGAGUAACGGGUUAAAACGCAGCCUUUCAUCCGCUUCUCCACGAUCGUUGAUAAGACCAACUUUUCCUUUCGGAACCAAUCUAAAGCAGACACGAAUCCUAAAGCACUGAUACUAAGAGUUGAACCCCUUUGUCGCUUUCCAUACCACCCCCAAACUCUCCGUCACCGUCCCGCUCCCCACUCACCGUCUCCGCCCGCGGCCUCUCCCGGAAUCGGAUCGCGCUGCCCCAUCUUCGGCCUCCGCCUCUUCUUCCGUCCAAGGUGAAACGCUCUCCUUCUCCCGUCAUCGGUUUGCUUGCCUUGCCCACGUCCCUCUAUUCGGAUGCUGUUGCGCUGCGGUUUCUGCGUCAUCAUGGGUUACGAAGCCGAGAUCUUGUAGCCGUUUGGCAUGUUGUUUGGAAUUAGACGUAGAAUAAUGAUCUGUUUGCCUCGAUUUCAUCAUCGAUCAACCGUCUGCUUGAUUUCUGCUUUCAGCACCAAAUCCAGCCAAUCAAAGCUUUUCAUCUUUAAUAUUUCAAGAUUUUGAUGCACAAAUGGCAAGGGAUUGUUAGGCAUUUUCAAUGGCUGGAAUUUUUGGUUCCUUCGUUGUACUGAAACUAUGGGCUAUUAGAGAUGAAUAUUGUUGUUUCUUUUGGAGAAAGAAACUAACUUUAGAGAUCAAUCAUCAUUUUUAGGCUUUAUUGAAUUCAGAAACUUUACGAGAAUUGCCAUCAGAUCACGCGCUUGGUUUCAAGACAUUUUACGUUAGUGUUCCAUCUAGGGGUUUGAAUCCAUCAUGCAUAUAUUGAUUGCUGUGUUUGCUCCAAAACCUUGAUUAGUAUAUUUGAAGAGUGGAAAGGUCACCUGGCAUUCAGGUACUUGACCCACACUAUCCACCACUAUUCUUGAUUACGAUGUAUCAAUUGCAAUAUAAUUUUCAUAGCAGUUCUUUUUCCUCUAAACAUUUCAGGAUAUCUUGUUAAAUAAGGUUGAAUUUCUUUUAACCAAAACUGGACUUUUGAAAAGUAUAAUUUAAUGCCCUUGAACCUUAUGAUUUCCUUUGAAUCUUGAAGGUGUCGAGAUUUAUUUUUGAGAUUUGUCAUCGUUCAGAAUAAAUCUGCUGCAUUUUGUGAAUACAUUCAUAACCUCAUAUCUACUAUGCAUGUGUUGUAGGCAUUUCCAUUUUGCAACAUGAUAACUAGUAUGAAUUCAAAUGGAAAAGUAGUAACUAACAAAAGAAAGGUUCUUGAUAACUUAAUACUUCUCUUAAGGACUAACCGUAGCAAAUAGUUGUCUUAAGGUGUUUCUUGAUUGUGGUUCUUUUCUUUCUCGAACACUCGUGACCAUGGCAUGACUUAUUGUUCCUUCGCCCAUCCUUUGUUGGCAUUAUAUAUAUCGCUCUUUAGAGAGAAAUGUGGUCAACACAUGUAAGCAAAACUCUGUCUAAAUCAUUUGUUUUCUUUUGAUCGUAAAGAAUGAAAAAGAGAAAGUCAUGGUCAUUCAUAUCCCAAAGCAUACAGAUUCAUUUGAUUUUCUUUCGACUUUCUGUCUCUUUUUCUCGGUCUGCGGCAGGCAGUCACAACAGUCACCAGCAUCCUCUUCUUCGUUAGAAUUGCCAAGAGGGGCCACCAUAAUCGAAUGGCUAUCAUCGCCAACCAUCUUCAUUAUUAAAAGUCUGAUAUCUUGGGCAUUAAGUUUGUUGCAAUUGGAAGAAGACGUAUACGAUGAGUAUGACAUUACAUUUUUUGCCUUCCAUGAAUGAUCAAUCACUGGAGUAAAUAAAUUGGUUACUGCCACUGAAAUCUCACCCCCUGUUAUCUUGAUAAUUGUGUAGAAAAUUGAGGUUCCCGCAUGAACAAUGUGAGAGUAGAUGUACCAUGGCAAACGCCGAAUGAUUCCAGCUUUAUGUAUGUGCACCUGAUGUAACCUGUGAUGCAUUUUCAGGAACAAUGGCCAGCAAAUCUAGCAGUGAUAGUCGGGAGCCAGUGAAUGAGCAAAUUAUUUUAAACACAUAUGCAAACAUGCGGUCAGAAAUUAACCAGAUCUACUCAAAGAUCACUGAGCUAGAAAUGGAAGUCAGUGAGCACUCCCUUGUAAUAGGUGCCAUACAACCACUUGAUCCAUCACGCCGCUGCUACCGGACGGUUGGUGGUGUGCUGGUCGAGAGGACAAUCAAGGAAGUCGUGCCUGCUGUGCAGCGCAACAAGGAAGGUCUCGAGGAGGUCAUUGCUCGCCUCAACGAGGCACUGGAGAGUAAGAAGAAGGAGAUUUCAGAAUUUGAAUUGAAGUAUAAGAUCAAGAUAAAGAAAGCUGACAGCGAGACCAAGGAGGAUCCCAACCUAAAAGAAGGUUCUGCGCAGGGGGUUCUUGUAGGCCCUGCAAGCUAAUGGAAAGUGCUAGGAAAUCAAGUAUGGAUGUCUUUUUCAUGGCAUGAUAAAUCUGGUUUGUAUUUUCUAGACAGAAGACAUUUUCCUGUGAAGUUUCUGUUGCAUACGAGUCCUGAUG
rnacentral:lncRNA from 1 species